rnacentral:lncRNA from 1 species
GUGCAGCUCCAAUGCUUUGAGAUAGAGGAUUGCAAUUGCUUAAGGGACAUAAUACUUACAGAGGAAAUUGAUGAAGAAAGGAAAGAUGUGAUUUGUUUCCCUCGAUUAAACUCCCUGUAUAUAGAUGGUCUUCCAAACCUCAUCUUCUUCAACUCAGGAAACCACAAUAUUGAGUUCCCAUUGUUGAAAGAGCUAAGGAUUAGGCGUUGCCCCAAGUUAAUAGAAUUCAUUAGUCAGAAUAGUAAUCAGUCCGGCAUGCACGCUCUCUUCAGUGAGAAGGUGAUUUAUUUCAUUAGUCUUACACUCUUGCAUAAAUCUGUUGAUUUGUCCUUGUUUUUUUUUUCUACCUUCAUUAUUUGAGCUAACCUUAUUAUGGGCAUGGAUUAUAUAUAUAUAUGAAUAGGUUGCAGUUCCUAGCUUGGAAGACAUGCAUAUCAGUGACUUGAGUAAUGUGAAGAUGAUAUUUUAUAAUUGUUGGAGCUAAGUGCAACAAAUAGCAAGGUUCAACAAAAAGCUUGCCGAGCAAGAAUCGAGACUUGCGGCAGAAACAAAGAAGAAAAAUGAAAUAAAUUUUAAGCAAAGCUAAAAUAGAGAGUAUAUGGAUGAAAUCUUGAUUGAAUUCAUUCAUUUUUUUUAAAAUGGCAUAAAGCCUAUUUAUACAAGCUUACAACUUGACAACUUAGUUGGAAUACAACUAAGUUUCAUUAUUACAUCCACUUAAAAUAAAUCACCACCUACUACCACUAACAAACUUAGUUGGAAUACAACUAAGUUUCAUCAUUAUAUCCACUUAAAAUAAAUCACCACCUACUACCACUAACAAACUUAGUUGGAAUACAACUAAGUUACAUCAUUACAUCCAAAUAAUAAUAAUAAUAAUAAUAAUAAUAAUAAUAAUAAAACAUGUGAUUGCUACAUGCUAACCAUUGCUUCAAUACUCCUCCUUGGUUUGCAUGGAGCAAACACCUAGCUUCCUUCUUAGACAUUCGAACCUUGUGACAUUAAGGGCUUUAGUCAAAAUGUCUGCAAGUUGAUCCUCAGAAUUACAAUGGAUCAGCUUCACUUCCUGAGCUUGCUCCAUUUCUCGAACAACAUGCAACUUGAUGCUGAAAUGCUUUGUUCUUUCAUGGAACACUGGAUUUUUAGCAAUUGCAACUGAAGAUUGGUUGUCACAGAAGAUCUCAGUAGCUUCCUUUUGAUGCACUUUCAAAUCAGCUAAGAUUUUCCUUAGCCAAAUGACUUGGUUGACAGCACUUGCAGCUGCCACAUAUUCUGCUUCAGUAGUAGAUUGAGCCACCAGACUUUGCUUCUUCGAGCUCCAGCAAAACAUGGCUGAACCAAGGUUGAAAGCAUACCCUGAGGUGCUUUUCAUGUCAUCUAUCGAGCCAGCCCAGUCACUAUCAGUGUAGCCAACCAGCUUCAGAUUUCCUUCCUUGCUGUACCUUAAACCAUAGCUCAAAGUGCCUUUGACAUAUCUAAGCACUCUCUUAGCAGCUUGUAAAUGCUUUUUAUUGCAACAAUGCAAGAACCUUGAGAGCAAUCUUACAGCAUACAUUAUGUCUGGUCUAGUGGCAGUUAAAUAUAACAGACAACCAACUAGACUUCUGUAGGUUGUUUCACAAACCUUCUCAAAAUCACCUUGGCUCGAUAGUUUUUCUCCAACAGCAACAGGUGUUUUAGUUGCUUUACUGUUUUGCAUGGAGAACUUGGUCAGAAUCUUUGUGGCAAAGUUUCUCUGACUUAGAAAUAUCCCAUUUUGUGCUUGAGUCACCUUCAUUCCAAGGAAAUAAGACAUUUCCCCUAGAUCAGACAUUUCAAAUACUUCUUGCAUCUUGGUCUUGAAAUCGACCAGCACUGCUCGAUCUCCUCCUGUCACCAACAGGUCAUCAACAUAUAGGGAUACGAUGAGCUGUGUUUGUGUCCCUUGCUUCUUGACAUACAGUGUUGGCUCACUCUUGCUUCGAUCGAAUCCCAAAUUAGUCAAGUAGCCAUCGAUUCUGCUGUACCAGGCCCUUGGAGCCUGUUUUAAGCCAUAUAGGGCCUUCUUCAGUUUGUAGACCAUAUGCUCUCUGCCAGCUAUCUCAAACCCUUGUGGUUGUUCAACAUAGAUCUCUUCAUCUAAGAAACCAUUCAGAAAGGCUGAUUUCACAUCGAGUUGAUGGAUCUUCCACUCGAGCUGUGCUGCUAAGGCAAUCAGUAAUCUGAUGGUGUCUAGCCUGGCCACUGGUGCAAAGGUCUCCAGGUAGUCCAGGCCAUACCUCUGACUGAACCCCUUGACAACUAGCCUUGCUUUCAGUUUGUUCAAGGUACCAUCAGCAUUUUGCUUGGCUUUGUACACCCAUUUCACCCCAAUUAUCUUCCUUUUGACUGGCCUUUCAACUAAUUCCCAGGUCUGGUUCUUCUCAAUCAUGCUAAUCUCCUCAGCCAUUGCCUGCUUCCACUCUUGCUGAGCUUCAGCCUUUUCAAAAUUGCUUGGUUCAACUAUGACUACAUGAGCUCUUUCAUAAAUCUCAGUCAAUGGUCUUGUUCCUCUAACUGGUUCAUCAUCAAUGUCCAUUUCAGGAACAUUUUGAUCUGGCUCAGCUUGAUCUGCUGCAAGUCCUUCUGAAACUUCCUCAGGUUCAUGUUUUUCCCAGUUCCAACAUGACUUUUCAUCAAAUACCACAUCCCUACUGACUGACACUUUCUUUGUUGAAGGAUCCAAGAUCCUAUAAUCCUUCUUAACAGUGCUGUAGCCCACCAAAAUACCAGGUCGAGCCCUUUCAGACAAUUUGUCCCUUUUGACAGCAGGUACAUGAGCAUAACAGAUGCAUCCAAAGACCUUCAGAUGAGCCAGUGAUGGCUUGAAUCCAAACCAGGCUUCGAAUGGAGUCUUCUGAUCCAAGACCUUGGUUGGAAGCCUAUUUUGAAUGUAGUUUGCAGUGUUAACUGCCUCUGCCCAUAGUGCUUUAGGCAGAUUCUUCUGAAUCAUCAAGCACCUGGCCAUAUCCAUCAAACUCCUAUUCUUCCUUUCACUUACACCAUUUUGCUGAGGUGUAUAUGUGUUGGUAAGUUGAUGUUUGAUGCCUGCCUUAUCACAGAAGGCUUGGAACUGAGCUGAGGUGUACUCAGUCCCAUUAUCAGACCUUAUAGACUUCAGCUUGCAACCUGUUUCAGUCUCAGCAGCAGUCUUGAACUUCCAAAAUACUGAGGCCGCCUCUGAUUUCUGUUUUAGGAAGUAAAGCCAACAAUAUCUUGAAAAAUCAUCAAUGAACAGUAUGAAGUACCUGUUUCCACUUAAUGACUCAGUCCUCAUAGGGCCACACACAUCAGUGUGCACCAGUUGGAGUUUUUCAGAGGCUCUCCAGGCUUGAUUCGAGGGAAAUGGGAGUCUGGCCUGCUUUCCUAGCUGACAUACUUCACACACAUCAUCAUGAUCCACUGAGUUGAUGAAGUUUUCAGCCAAGUCCUCUCUGACCAUUCGAGCCAUCGAUCUGAAGUUGGCAUGUCCCAGUCUUUGAUGCCAAAGCUUAGAUUCAUCUGAUGUGACUGUGUAGGCAAUGUCUGACUCCCUGGUCCAGUCAACUACAAAGCUCUUAUUAGCCAUAGGAACUGCCAUCAGCUUGGAUCCACUUGGAUCAUUGAUUUGGCAUUGGUUGUCUUUGAACACAACAGAAUAACCUUUCUCCAGCAACUGAGCUAUGCUGAGCAGGUUUCUGUCAAUUUUAGGCACCAAAAGCACAUUUGAAAUCACUUUGGCACCUGUGGGGGUGCAUAUCAGCACAUCACCCUUGCCUUCAGCUUGAAUAAAAUGUCCAUUUCCUAUCUUGACUUUAGUUCUGCAGCUUCUGUCUAAAGACUUGAAGAUUGCAGCAUCAGGUGUCAUGUGGUUGGUGCAUCCACUGUCUAGAAGCCAACCAGAUGAGAACCUUUCUUGAGCAGCUGAGCAUAACACAGCAAAGACUUGCUCCUCUUGGUCACCGUCCUCCUUAGCUACUCGAGCCUCAGCUUUCUUCUGUUGAAACUGACUCUGCCUUGAUUUGGCCUUGCUCUUGCAGACUUUCUCAACAUGACCCUUCUUUUUACAAUGCUGACAUACAUCAUCUGGAUUGAACCAGCAUUUUUCUUUUGGAUGACCAGCCCUUCUGCAGUGCUUGCAAGUCUGACCCUCUUUUCUUGCAACAUCAGUCCUUGGCUUGUCUCUCUAGGCCUUCUUGCCUUUGUAGGCAGUGUUUGUUCUUGCCUGAAAGGCACCUUCUUGAUGCUCCUCCAGUCUGCUUGCUCUUCUUUGCUCUUGAGCAUAUAAAGCAUUGAUAAACUCUGUCAGGGAGAUGGUGUACAGGUCCCUUGAGUCCUCGAGAGAUGAGAUUUUUGCCUCAUACCUCUCGGGCAGAGUUGCAAUAACCUUCUCCACUAUCCUAGCUUCCUUGAGCUGCUCUCCAAGGAGCCUUAUGCUGUUAACCACAGCCAUAAUCCUGUCAGAGUACUGCUUGAUAGUUUCUUCUUCCUUCAUCUUCAAAUUCUCAAAAUCUCUCCUUAAGUUCAGCAACUAUUGCUGCCUUGUCCUCUCUGUCCCUUGAAACUCCUCUUGCAACUUGUCCCAGGCUUGUUUUGGUGAUUCACAGGCCAUAAUCCUUGUGAAAAUCACAUCUAACACUGAGUUCUGGAUGCAAGACAUGGCUUUGUGCCUCUUAGUCCUCUCAUCAGCAUGCUGCCUGAUUUGAGCCACUAUUGGAUUGCCUCUAAGUGGCUCUGGUUCAACAUCUGAGUUGACUACCUCCCACAGAUCGAAAGCUUGUAGGUAGGUCUUCAUUUUAACCACCCAUAUGUGGUAGCCUUCUCCAUUGAAGACUUGAGGUGCAGUUGGUGAAAAGCUUGAUGAAGCCAUGAAUUUGUAUAACAGAUCCCUUAAGAAAUAGGCUCUUGAUACCAAUUGUUGGAGCUAAGUGCAACAAAUAGCAAGGUUCAACAAAAAGCUUGCCGAGCAAGAAUCGAGACUUGCGGCAGAAACAAAGAAGAAAAAUGAAAUAAAUUUUAAGCAAAGCUAAAAUAGAGAGUAUAUGGAUGAAAUCUUGAUUGAAUUCAUUCAUUUUUUUUUAAAAUGGCAUAAAGCCUAUUUAUACAAGCUUACAACUUGACAACUUAGUUGGAAUACAACUAAGUUUCAUCAUUACAUCCACUUAAAAUAAAUCACCACCUACUACCACUAACAAACUUAGUUGGAAUACAACUAAGUUUCAUCAUUACAUCCACUUAAAAUAAAUCACCACCUACUACCAUGUAAUAGCCCGAUUUUAGGCUUAGUCGGAACAGUGGUUUCGGGACCACAAAUCCGACGAAAAAAAAAAUGUAAUGGCUUGAAUUUUCAGAGGUGUCAGAACGGUGAUUCGAGAUCACUAAAUUCGACAAAUGGGUAGAAAAUAUUAUUAAUUUAGUAAGUAUAAGUUAAAUAUGAAGUUAGGAAAAUUUUUGAAAUAGUGAAUAGUGCACUAGAAAUAAAUAUUAAAAUAAUUAGAAUCGAAAUGAGGUAUCAAGACCUCGGGGAUUUUAAACUGAGCCAUAAAUAUUUUUAUAAAUAUUUAUGGAGUGUUAAAAAGUUAGUAUUAAAGUUUCGUUAAGAAAUUUUAAAGUUCCGAUAAUUAAUUGAACAAAAAGGACUAAAUUGUAACAAAUGCAAAAUUUUGGAAAAUGAUUAAAUAACUUAAAUGAUAAAAGGAAGAGGGCUUAAAAGGCAAAUAGACCCAAGGUCUAUUUGGGCUGGACGGCAGAGGCAUGAAAUCAGCAAAAAAGUAAGGAGAAUUAAGGGCAAAAUUGGAAAAUUGCAAAAUUUGCUUAAUAAAGUUAGGACCCAAGUGGAAUUAUCUAGAUUUCUCUUCAUUUUUCUGAAUUCUCAUCAGCUAAAACACCAUGGAAGGGCUUCUUCAAGCUGGUUCUUCAUAUUUUUAUUACAAGUAAGUUCAAUUCUUGACUAUUUCUUGAAAUUUUUGUAUUUUUAUGACUUUUACAACUAGGCCCACUUGUUAAAUCCAUUAGUUUUUGAUUUUAUGAAAGAAUUUGAAAGUUGAUAUGAAUAUGUGCUGGAAGUAUAUGAUGAUUUAGCAUGAAAUUAGAGAUUUAAAUUGUUCAUAUGCUGAUUUUAUUGAAAGAAUUGAAUAGAAAGUGAAUGUUUGGGACCUAAUAGUAAAAGAGUUUGAAGAUAGAGUUAUAUGUGGAAAUUCUGAAUUUCAAUAGUUGUGUAACAACUUAUAAUGUCUAGUAAAGUACUAAUUGAGAAAAUUAGAUUAAUUGAGGGGUUAAUUGAGAAAGGACCGAAUUGUAUAAACUGUGAAAUUUGGGGCAAAAUGGAAAUCAACAUUUUGCACUAAAGCAGUUUUGGACAGCAGCAGUAGUGUAACUUUGAAAAAUCACCAAAAAUUGUAGAGAUUGAAUUAGAGGAUGAAUAAAAUAUGAAACUAAAGCUUAUUGAGUCUAGUUUCUUAUAAAAGAAAUGAUGUGAGCAAUGGAAUUGUAAAUCAUGAGAUAUAAUAGAUUUUGUGAGACAAGGUCAGAAUGAAUUCGGGUUCCCCUGUUCUGACUUUGGAAAAAUCAUUAAAAAUUGUACAAAAAUGAUUAUGAGUUAUAGUUUAUAUGGUUAGAAUCCUUAAUGAGUCUAUUUUUAGAAGAAACAAGCUAAAACAUCAUCCGAAUUCUGUACAAUGAGAUAAUUAAUUUUUAGUGAAGAGUGGUCGGAACUGUCAGACAGCGAAACAGGGGAAACUUUAAAGAAUAAACUGUACUAUUUGGCUGAACCAAAAAUUAUGAAAAUUUUAUGGUAUGAAGAUAUGUGAGUCUAGUUUCAGGGAAAAUUAACGGAUCUUAAUUUGGAGCUCUGUAUCUCCGGAUAAAAAUAUUUUAGUGACUCUGACUCGGAUAAACAGCUUUGAAUAUACAUGUUAGUAAAUAUUGAAAUUAUGGUUAAUGUUGUUUAAGUGUGUUAUACACAUUAAGGAUGUGGAAUGGAGAGGAGGAGGAGGAAAAUUGGGAAAUAUAUGAAUGAUUCGUGUAUAAAUGGUCAUAUGUUUGAUUAUAACUCAUAAACGAUGAAAUAUGAAUGAUGCUUAUUUUUGUGCAUUAUUGGUCAUGGUUUAAGCUCAUGUGUGAAAAUAAAGUUUCAUAGUAUGUGUGUAUGGUAUAUUCAGUAUAUGAUUUGGCAUGAAAUAAUACCAUGAAUGGUUUAUGAAUUAACACAUGUUGGUAAGCCUGAUAUAUGAAUAAAUGAUCAAAUUGAGCGGAACGCCGGAUUUGAGUACUUCUGAUCAAGUGACAAAGUGAUAAGUGGUAGCUUUAGCUACACUUAUCUGAUCAAGUGACAAGUGGAAAGUGAUAAGUAAUAGCUUCGGCUAUACUUAUCUGAUCAAGUGACAAAGUGAUAAGUGAUAGCUUCGGCUACACUUAUCUGAUCAAGUGACAAGUGAAAAGUGAUAAGUGAUAGCUUCGGCUAUACUUAUCUGAUCAAGAGACAAAGUGAUAAGUGAUAGCUUUAGCUACACUUAUCUGAUCAAGAGACAAAGUGAUAAGUGGCUACACUUAUCUGAUCAAGAAACAAAGUGAUAAGUGGCUACACUUAUCUGAUCAAGAAACAAAGUGAUAGGUGGCUACACUUAUCUGAUCAGGGACAAGUGAUAAGUGAUCAUACGUAAGACCAUAGUUAUCCUAUGGCAAAGUGAAAGUGAAGUACUCAAUUUUCCGUGACCGUUCCCUAAUUUGAUUAAGGAUGGUAAGUGACAAAUGGGCCCAAAAGAAUUAAAGUAAAUGGAUAAGUGGUAGUGUAUUUAUAUCAGGACGAUGUUGUUAUUCAAACUAAAGUGAUAUUUUCAUUGCUAAAUUGAGAAUUUCAUAAAUGUGUUAUUGAAUGGUAUAAUCAAUAAACAUUGAGUUAAAUGGUAAAUACGUAUUAGUUUUGAAUUUGAUGUCAUUGAAUUGUACGUGAAUUAAAUGAAAAUUGCUAGUGAUAUGAUUUAAAUUAUGAGCAUGAGAAAUUGCGAAUUGAAUGAAAUGGAAAUGAAGCAUUAAAUUGCAUGAGUAUGUAUCGGGUCUCGCAGGCCCUAAUUAUUAUGAUUAUAAUAUUUUGAGGAUAUAUUGUGAAAAGUUAUAGAAACAUGUUAAUUAUUUUGAAAGUUUUAAUUUUGAUGAAAUUUUAUAACUCGGUUAAAUACGUUUACAAGUGUAUGUGUUUUGGUAAUGCCUCGUACCCUAUUCCGGUGUUGGAUACGGGUAAGGGGUGUUACAUACCACCAACUAAGUUUCAUCAUUACAUCCACUUAAAAUAAAUCACCACCUACUACCACUAACAAACUUUGUUGGAAUACAACUAAGUUACAUCAUUACAUCCAAAUAAUAAUAAUAAUAAUAAUAAUAAAACAUGUGAUUGCUACAUGCUAACCAUUGCUUCAAUAAUAAUGACCUACCACCAGGUUCCUUUAAAAAUAUACGAAAAGUAAGUGUUUGGGGAUGUGGGAGUUUGAAAAAUCUAUUUCCAGUAUCAAUAGCCAAAGAUCUUCCACAACUUGAACAUUUAAGCAUCACUGGUUGUGGAGUUGAGGAGAUUGUAUCGAAAGGGGAUGGAGUGGAGGAGCAGCCUGUGAGGUUUGAGUUUCCGCAAGUGUCUUACCUUGACGUUUCAUUGGUAGAAAACCUCAAAUGUUUCUAUGAAGGGCAACAUACAAUAGUCUGGCCGAUGUUGAAGAAAUUGACAACAGAUAGGUCUGCUUUGCCAAAGAUAGUGGCAUCGGAACAUCUUAGAUUAAUCCAAGGAAAUGAGGAGCCAGUUUUGUUGGGUGAAGAGGUAUGUAUAUCAUUACAACUAUAUUUCUUUUUAUGAUUUAAACCACUGCCACAAGCAUCUCAAGUUGAAAUAUGCCACGAUCAUGCAUUUCUAAUUAUUAUAUUUUGUUUGGUUUGGAUUUUUUUUUUCGUAUUUUUGAAUUUUCACUAUAUAUAUAUUUUAAAUUUUUUGUUACAUUUAUAAUUAUUUUUUCAAUUUUUUUAAAAACAAGACUGAAUAAACAUAAUAGGUAAAUAUUGAGUGAAUACAGUUCAAUUUGAUAAAAUGUAUAAAUAUUGAGGGUUAAAUUUAUUAUUAUGUUAAAAAGAUGCUAAAAAAAAUAAAAAUAUUUUAUUUGUUUUUAAGUAACCAAAAUAAAAAUAUUUUAACACUAAGUGACUAUAUAUGUAAUUUACCCUGCAUUUAAGUAGUGGAUCGAAACUAAAUAGGAUCUUUAAUUUGCUUUAAAAAAUUGCCACUCAAUAAAAAAUCAAAACUUUAAAAGUUAAUUACACUAGACAUCUCAAACUAGGACCUUCAUUUUAAAUUAGUCCUAAAAUUUAAAACUAUUGAGGUUAUAUCAAUUACGUCUUUCUGUUAUUAAAUUCGUUAAUUUAACCAUCAAAUUAAAUCAGUGUAAUAUUUUAAAACAUUGGUGUUUUAUCUCCACUGUUCUGCUUAUACUUUUUAUCAUAGAAAAAUAUAUAUAACAAUGGUUGUUUAUCUAUUUUAAUUUAGAUUUGCUACUCUUCUUUCGGCUUUCAUGUUCUGUAAUUUUUAUCAGUUUUAAUUCUCAAGGUAUUGUGUUUUCUUAAAACAAAAAAUUCAUCUAUUCUGGAUUCGUUUGAUUUAAUAUUGAUUUUGUUGGGAUUUAAUCAUCAAAAUCAAACACUAAAAUUGUAAAUCUUCUUUCUUUCUUUUUUAAAGCAUAUACAUCAACAUUGAGCCUAACUUGCUUAUAUUUGAUUGGUUUCCAAGGUCAUUCCCAAAUUAGAGGAACUUGAGUUACAAAAUUUUGGUGAUAUGGACCAAUUUCCACCAGACUUGUUUCAACAUAUUAAAGUUUUUGCACUGAGUGGUGGCUCUCCAUUUUCUUUAUUUCCUUUCGUCCGAAGAUUCUACAAUAUGGAAAGACUUAAGUUCUCUUUUUUAGAUUUCAAACAUGUAGUCCCUUGUAAAGGAGACGCCGGGACUCUCCCACCAAUUAGAAAUCUGGAAUUGUUUUCUGCCAGAAAUCUUAAUCAUAUUUGGAGGAAAGGUUCGGAGCUUUACCAUAUUCUUUCUAAUCUUCAAACACUCACAGUUCUGCGUUGUGAUGAUUGGAUAAAUAUUAGAGCCUUCUCAUCAUCUUUACAAAAUCUUACAAUUUUGAAUGUGUCAUUAUGUAAAAUGACGACAAACUUAGUCACACCCUCAGUACUUAAGAAUCUUGUGCAAUUAACGACAAUAAAGGUAGAAGACUGCACUAAAAUGACAGAAAUAGUGGGCAACGAGGGAGACUGUCAUCAGACAAUAGUUGUUAGUAAAUUGAAAUGUUUACAACUAUGCAAUUUGAAGAGCCACCGGGUAAAGAUCUUUUGUUCACAAGCUUUUGUCCACGGUAUUACAACUUCGAGUUUCCUUGUUUGGAAGAAUUAGUUGUGGAACGUUGUCCUUGGUUAAAGAUCUUUUCUGAGGGAGUUUUAAGCACCCCACAAUUACAGAGAAUAAAACAGUCGCGUUACUUUGAGGAAUGGAGUUGGACAAGUGACCUUAAUACCACCAUACAACAGCUCUACACAGAAAAGGUACAAAGUUAAUAAGUUCAUAAUGCUAGUUAGAUUCCUCGUGUCCUAAUACAAUUAAUUUUAUUACUACUUCAAUAACCAUUGAAGAGUGUUAAUCGUUAUUUUGUUAUUGUCUGCAUUUUCUAUUUAUGAUUGCUAUCUAGUGGAAUAAUAUCAGAUUAAUUUUUAGGGUGGACUCUAUGGCCAAUGUGAUUUCAACAUCUCUGACACAUUUCCGGAGUCGAUAGAAAUAUGGACUAGAAACACUCAAGAAAAUUUGGGCAUCAAAAACCUUAGGAGCCUGCACUUUUAUAAAUGUAGCAGCUUGAAGUACAUAUUUACUCCGUCUAUGCUUUUGGGCCUCAAUCUACUACAAAGGAUAAAAGUGAGAGAAUGCAGUUCAAUGGAACAAGUAGUUAGGGAGGAGGAGGAAGCAAUGACACAUAAAUUUACAUUUCUUUCGCUACGCUCCGUAACAAUUGAGUCGUGUUCCAACUUGACAAAUUUCCAUUUGGGAAGUCAAGCUCUUGAAUUUCCACAGCUGAGUGAUAUCAGGAUAGCUGAGUGUCCAAAAAUGACUGCAUUUUCUUCCUCAGUUUCAAGAGAGAGUGGUGAUGCAAGUGAAAACGUGGUUGGCAAAGGGGGCAUCUAUGAUAACACUGCAACUUUUUUCAGCAAUAAGGUAAGUUUGGUAUUCAAUAUAUAUCUGCACAACUUAUUUCACAUUUUCUUUUGAUUUGAUCAACAUGAGUGUGUCUGGUCUACAUAUCCAUACUAGUGCUACACCUUGUCAAAAUUUAAUAUAAUAAAAUCCAUAAAAAUAUUAAUAAAUAAGAUGAUGUUAAAAAAAAAUUGGAGUUUAAAGUAUAAAUAAAUAUAUAAAAUAAGAUUUGAAGGAAAAACUUAAAGUGAAAUACUAAAAAACAAAAAGAAUUUAAGAGAAGUUUAAAAUUAAAUAGUAAUAGACAAUAAAUAAUAAAAUAAUAAUAGAAAAAAGAAAACAAAUCUUCCUUCAUUUUAAUUUGUUGAUGACCUUCACAAAGGUCAUUUGAGAUCAAAGGAGAAGAAGCCUGAAAACAAAAGGUGAGGAGUUUGAAGAAGAAAGAACCAAAUAUAUAGAGGAGAAUUGAAGUGAGAGAGUGGAUGGGUUUUAUUUAAAGAUUUAAUGCUUUUUUUUUUAAUUUCAUAUAUAGAAAAAAUCAUUGAAAGAAAAAAAAGUUUAAUAUAAUUAUUUAAAUUUACUUGUCGGGUUUUUAUAAAAGUAACUCAAAUUUUUUAUUAAUUAUGAAAAUGACUCAAUUUAAAAAUUAUGUACAUAAAUUAUUCGAUUUCUAUAGUGUUUGUCGGUGCCGCUAGACACAAUGGUGGCAUCGACCUACCAUCAUUGACUAAUGAUUGUAUUUUAUUUAAAAAAUAAUAGUUUUCUAGUAGUAUCGUUGGAAAAAUUAGUGAUAUCAAACUAAAGUGUGAUUAUAUAAAAUGUUUGUGGACUUGACAAAGUAAUUAUCCUUUUGAAAUUAAAUUUAAAUAACCCUUAAGAAAUAUAAGAAUAACAAAAAUAAACCAUUCUCAUUUUUUUUUAAAAAUAAACUUAAAAAAUUAUAUAAAAUUCUUAUUUAAAUUACCCAAAUAUAUCCCUCGCACAGCUUCCUCAAGUUUAUCUAAAUUCAAGCAUUUUCAAUUCAUUCCCUAGCAUAUUUAAAUUUAGAUAAACUUAAGGAAAUUUUUUGAGGAAUAUGUUUGGGUUAUUUGAAUAAGAAUUUUAAAUAAUUUUUUAAGUAUUUUUUCAAAAAAUGAAAAUGGUCUAAUUUCAAAAGAAGACAAACAUAACAUGCAAACAGGUCAAAUGUUGAAAAACAUUUAAUUUGGUUCAGAUACCAACGACACCCCUUUUUCAAACAAUCUAAAAACGUUAACCGCUUCAAAAGAUCCCUGCAUGUUUUAUAUAAUCACAUUCAGUCUGGUGCCGUCAAUUUAUUAGACAAAACCACUACAAAUUUUUUUAAAAAGCAAUCAUUGGCUGAUGAUGGAGGCUAAUGCAGUAAGCACUAUAGAAAUCAAGUCAUUUACGUACAUUAUUUUUAAGUUGGAUCAUUUUCGUAAUUAACCAAAAAAUUUUGGUUACUUUUAACUGUCUAGUUGAUGUGUGAAUAUUAACCUUUAGAUCAGUUUAUAAAUCUUCAUACUCAUCUACUCAUUUUGAUUGUCUUUCAAAGUAAAGAAGGAAGAGUGAUACUAUCUUAUAAUAAUAUUUAUGUCAACAGGUUGUCAUUCCUCGUUUGGAGCGUCUGGAUUUGUCCUCCAUCAACAUUCAUAAGAUAUGGCACCACUCAUCCUCCCCAUCUAUCGGAUACCUAAAUUUCUUGCGGGUGAAGAGGUGUCACAAUUUGAAAUACCUGUUCCCGUUUUUCUUAGCAAAAGAUCUUGAGCAACUCCGAUUCCUUGGAAUUUUGGACUGUAAUAUGAUGGAACAAGUAAUAUUCACGGAUGGAUUGGUUGAGGAACAUCAAGGGAGGAAUCAGAUGUUUUUCUUUAAUCAACGUUCGCUGUGGCUAAACGACCUUCCCAAACUCACAAGUUCGUGCUUUGAAAAUUACUUUGAAUUUCACUGUUUAGCAGAUUUAACACUAAGAAAUUGUCCAUUGCUAAAAACAUUCAUCUCUAAAUGUGUACCCGGAGAUGAACCUCAAAUUGGCCAACAUGUACAGGCAAGUAACUUGGAGGUUCAUAACUCAUCUCUCCUCAAUGAAAAGGUCAUUUCUUCACGGAUUCUCCUUUUAAUUUAUUUUACUUCGAUUUAUCUUAUUCAUUUGAAGUUCUUUCUUUUUCAUACAUAUUUCAGUAUUAACCUAAUGAUAUGAUUUAUUAGGUUGUUUUCCCUAGUUUGAAGAGGCUGCAAAUUCAAAAUUGUGAUUUGUUAGAAGAAAUUAUCGAGCUGCAAGGAGUCAUUGCUGAUGAGUCACAGUCAACAUCAGCUGCUCAAUCUAUUGUGGCUGAAACAGUGACGACCAAGUUUGUAUUUCCCAAACUAAUAAACCUGGGAUUGGAUAAGGUGCCAAGAUUGAAAAGUUUCUACUCUAGGAUGCAUACCACCCACUGGCCUUCAUUGAAAAAAAUGGACAUUAUUGAAUGCCCCAAAGUACAGAUAUUUACUCCACAAUGUCCCGGGAGUCAGGUUGGAAUCUCAAACCAACAACCCUUGUUUUGCGUCAAUGAGGUAAGCUCGCGAACAGUUUCAUAUUCCAUGAUCAUUACUUGAGAUUACCUAUAAAAUGCUUUUUGAAAAAACUAAUAUUCUCUCCUCUUUUAAUUUUAUGAGAGUCUAGUUCUUACUAAUUUAAAACUCUUUCAUCGAUGUCUAAUAUAUUCUUUGCCAUCCAGGACACUUUCCCUGUAUUAGAAGAACUAACUCUGAAGACGAAUGAUAUGGGGAAGGGGAUAUGUGAUGGACAACUCUCAUUGCAGUGUUUCCAAAACCUUAAGCAUCUUAACCUCCAAUUCUUUCCCGAGACAUCCACUACUCUUCCGUAUUCCUUCAUUCGGUCACUACCAGUGCUUCAUAAGCUUGUUAUAGACAAUGCUUCCAUUUGUCAAAUAGUACAAUCUGAAGGACUCAGCGACUAGGAAUGGCAUACAUCAGCAUUCUAUCAGCUAAAGGAAUUAAGUUUGUCUCAACUUCCAGAGUUGACGUUAAAGACUUUUGAACCAUCUUUGCUGUCUUUCAAAAAUCUAACAACACUGAAAGUUUCAAGAUGCCAUGGGUUCAUCAAUUUAAUCGCAUGCUCAACAGCUAAGUGCCUGACGCUACUGGAAAGAUUGAUCAUAGAUGAUUGUGAGAUGAUAGAGGAAAUCAUAGCGUGUGAGGCUGAAGAAAUACAAGGCGGCAUUGUAUUUCCCAAACUGAAGUAUUUGCAACUAAGUUGUCUGCCAUGUCUAGCAAUCUUUUCCUUGGCCCAUCACUUGUUGGAAUUCCCAGUCUUGCUAAUGUUGAUGGUGACAAAGUGCCCCCAAAUGAGGAAUUUCUGCCAAGGAGAUUUAAGCACGCCAAGGCUGGAACAAAUGCACUUAACAAGAGAUGAGGAAGGUGAACUGAAGUGGGAAGGCGACCUUAACACUACCAUAAAACAUAUGUUCGAUGAAAUGGUACAAAUCAUUUAAAGGAUUUAAAUUCAUGUGUUUUUACAUACAUACAUACAUAGUUAAUUGAACAAUUCCUGGUUUGUUAUGAUCAUGCACAGAAUGUGCAAAAUUCUGAGGUGACGGAGGUUACUGAUCAGUUGCCCAAUCUGGAAUAAGGAAAUAUGUUUGGGUGCUUAUGCGAAAAGCUCAAUUUCGUUUGAAUUCAAAACAAACGGUAAUUGACUCCUCUAUUUUCAUCAUGGCUUAACUAAUGCUUUAUAAAGUGACCAUAGAGACGCCCUUUUCAUUGUAGGUUGAGUUGCUCUACUGAAGUACGAGGCUGCAACUUUUGGUAAAAUGUGAAAGGUUAUUUCAGUUUUUGUAAAACUACCAUUUGAACUGUUCCAUUUCACAUUAUACCCUCAAAAUUGAACUUCAAGUGCAUCAUGCUUGGCAUUGGGCUACAAACAUGUAAACUUUUACUAGUAAGGUUGACCCCUGUUUUAAGGAUUUGCCAACUUUUGAUGGUUACCAUAUCAAUGUCAGCUUAAAGCUAUCAAGUAUCUUUACAAAUAUAAUAUAUAUAUAUUAUUCCUUAAUGAAGGAUAAAAGUAGGCAGCUAUCUAUUAAUGGUACGGCUGAUUCUGAAAAGACGGCUGAAAUUGAAUCAAUGGGUUGUUGGUAAUUGCCUGAUGGAAGAACAGGGCCUAAUGUUACGUGGAUCCUGAUCAAGUUUUAAAUUUUCAGUUGUAGGCAUUACUGAUUAUUGCCAUUUGGUUGUUGAUCCUCUGAUUUUACGGUUGACUGUCUUGCUUAUACGUUGCAAGGUUGGCGGGUCUCAAGUAUGAAUUUCCAAGCCGGCUGUCAUCCAUAAUUAACUAAGUGUUCCAAUCUGUUGAAAGGUGGUUAGCAUGCAGCAUUGAAGACCACCAUGCAGAAGCAGCAGUUUGCACGAGAAAGCAAGGAUGUUUAGUUUCAUUUGAAUUUUUUUUUUUGUUUAUGUAAUGUAAUCUAGUUCAUUUUGAACUAUGAUAAGAUGAUAUUUGAUGUAAACUUGAUGGUGAUUGAGCUGUUUACCAGCUUUAUUCAUUUGCACAAGUUAUCAUUCCAAUUUACUAGGAAACUUAGUGGUAGUAGGUAUAGUUUUGGUUAACCUACUGUCUUGACAAGCUAGAAGCUUGAUUUAUGUAUUGGCAUUAAGCCUUUUUUUGAUGAAUGAAUUUAAUCAAGUUUUCAUUCAAAAACUCUCACCAUUCUCCUUGCUUUAUUCUUUUUAGUUUUCUGCUUGUUUCUGCUGCAAGUCACGACACUUGCUGCUCAAGCAAUAGGCUGAAACUUGUUGUUAGUUGCUCUCAGCUCCAACAGAAUCCAUGGAGUUUAUGGUUUAUUAGUGUAACUGUCCAUUUGGUUGUGGAUUGGUUCUUAAGGUGUUUUGAUGCUUGUAUGUUACAGUGCCUGCUCCAAGCAACACCCUUUAAUUUCUAAUGAAUUUUAUUUGUUGAGGAAAAAAAUAUGAGGAUUAAUCUGAUAUUUUAUGUUUGGGUUUAUGAAGAUUUUUGUACCUUUAAUGAAAAAAGCAAAUAAAAUAGAGAGGUACAAGAUCACAUCCAUAGAUCAACAAAGGGGUUUAAUAUUUCUAUAAAAAAAGUUGUCCCAAAAAGGCCUUCUAAUGGGAAUUGAAAAAAAAGCUUGUAAAAAUUUACAAAAGGAAUUGAUGAGAAUCUGAUACAGCCAUCACAUGCGACAGCUUUCCCUUAAAAGCAUUCGUGGCUGAGUCUAGUCUUAAUUUUUAUUUGUAUCUUUUAUAUCCGUUUUAUAAUUCAUAUUUAAGAUUUGUAUUAUGCGCUUAAUAUUUCAUUAUUUGUUGUCUAUGAUGCUCAUUCUUGAAAAAAAAAACAAACAAACAAAUGCAAUGCAUGCAUAAACCAUAAAAAAAAUAAAGAACAUAAGCAACUAAUAAUGAAAUAUAUUAAAAUGAAGACCGGUAAUUGAUUUAAGAAUUACCCUAAUUUCGGUAAAUAUAUUAAAACAUGUGUCCCUAAUCUUUUUCAAUUUUGAUAUUGAAAAAAUUGGUAUUCUUAAAAUUAUGAGAGUUAUUCAAUUAUUUUCAUUUUUGAAAUUGAUAAAUUAAGGACAAUUAAUCACAACGUUAAUGUUUUUAUCAAUUAUAUAUGAUUUUCUUGAUAUAAUGAUAAAUUUAGUCCUCAAAGUUUACACAUUCUAUCAAUUUGUUAUUGAUUUAACAAAUUUAACCCACAAUAUUUACACAUUUCGUCAAUUUGAUCAUGAUUUAACAUAUUUAACCCGUAAUAAUUAUACAUUCUAUCAACAUUUACGCAAAAUAUAUAAUCAUCAAGGAUUAAAUUUGUUUUUAUACUAAUCAAAAUUAUGUAUAAUUAACAGAAACUAUUAGCGCUUGAUUAAUUGUUCGUGGUUACUUUCAAAAAAGAUAAGGAUUAAUUUGUUCAAUAUCAAAAAGAUGUUUUUUAUUUUUAUUUUUUAAUUUCAUAGGUAAGAAAAUCUCAAAAAAAAGAAAAUCUUUGAAAUAAAAAAUAGAAUGUUUUAUAUAAUUAUUUGAAGUUACUCUCACGUUAUUUUUACCCAUUCAAAGCUAGCAAGUCUUUAUGUACAAAAUGGUAUAGCUCUGCAAUUUGGAUUAACAUUUUGGUGACCUCCAUGUGAAGUGAAAGAAAAUUGAGAAUGUCACACAAUUAUUAUUUUUGCCUCCAUACCCCUAUGCCACCAAAGAAAGUUGAAUUAUUAAGGCACAAAAGUACUAAGGAGUAGGAGCUAGAAAAAGAGGGGCAUGAAAAUAAAGAGACUUACAUUUAUUAUUUGCAUAAUACAAAAUCAGUCUUUAAUAUUUACAUAUUUUAUUAAUUUGAAUUUUAUUUUUAUUUAGUUAAAUUUAACUUUAAACCCUUUAAAAAAAGUUAAAUUUGAUCAUCAACAUUUUAAAAAGAGUCAAAUUAUUAUUUAACGGAAAUGUUAAAUUUUGAAAUACAUAUAACAAUUCGCGUGUAUUUCAUAUUAUUUUUUUAAAUUUUUUAUAUUUUUUUGAAAUUUUUAUUUUUGAAUAUUGUUAGAAAAAUAUUUGGAACAUUGUUAGUGGAGUUUUUAACCUCCACCAACAAAAUUAAUGGGUUAAUAAGUGUCUUACAGGGAUAUAAUAAAAUAUUAAUAUAUAUAUAUUAAAAUAUAUAUAUAUAUGUUAAUUUUUUUAAAGUUGUGGAAUAAAAAUAAUAUAUUAUUGGCAUACCAAAUACUCACCUUUUUAAUUAAGAUUUAAAAAUAAAAAAUAGUUAGUAAAAUGAAUGGAUUGCAAAUUGAGAAAUUUGAUAUUGAAUAUUAAAAUUUUCUUAAAAAGAAGACAUAUAGCAAGAUAAGAAAGUUAGUGAUUUAUUUGAUUUAAUUUUAAUUUUUAAAUUGAUGCAUUUUAUUAUGAAUUUUUAUUCUUUGUGUAUUUUGUAUAAUUUGUUUGAAAUUUUCAAUUUUCAAUUUCUCACAUGAGUUUGAGAUAUAAAAAAAAUUACUCUUAGGAUUGGUGAAACAGUGGAUACAAGAGUUCAGCUUAUCAUAUAUUGAUGAUUUUGUUCUUCGAAAUAUUGUCUACAGAUAGGAUAUCAGAGUUCUAUUAAUUAGAGUUCCGUUAAAAAGUCGAAAUUUCUAUUUUAGCCUAGGACUCUAGGAGUUCUGUUAUCGAUAUUCUAAUUAUGAUCAUGAUCUAUAAAAAAUAUGAGUAACAUGUGAUACGUAAAUGAAAAUUUUUAUGAUAUGAUAAGUCAUAAAUUAAGUGAAAAUGUAUGAAAGUGUAUGAUUAUAUGAAAGACAAAAAUAAUUAAUUUAAUUUAAUGAUCUGUAAAAUUGAAAAAUGAAAUACAUGAAUUAUAUAAGAGAAUGUUGACGAUCAAUAUGUGGUAUGUAAAUGAGAAGGAAAAAAUUAUAUGACCAAAUACUAAAAUAAAUGAAUAAUGAAAUUAACUAAAUACUUUGUAAGUUCAAUAAUUUAAAAAAUUGUUAUUUUUCCCAUUCAAAGUUGAAAAGUCUUUUAUGUGAAAAAUAGUGUAGCUCUUCAAUUUGGGUAUAACAUUUUGGUCUUCUCCAUGUGAUGUGGAGGAAAAUUGACAACAUCACACAAUCAAAUCCAUUUUUUCUGCCAUACCCUUGUGCCUCCGAAGAAAGUUAAAUUAUUAAGGCACAAAAGUACCAAGGAGUAGAAGCUACCAAAAGAGGAGCAUGAAAAUAAAGAGAGAUACAUAUAUUACUGGCAUGAAAUAUUUACAUUUUUUAUUAAUUUGGAACUUCUUGCCUUUUACUACUAGCUUGAUUUGUAUCAUCGCUCUCACCUUUUUGAGCUUGUAUCUGAUAGUGAAACCAAAGAUUAGUGAAAGCCUUCGCACCAAAACUGAGUUCUAGGAACUGCAAUAGGAUCAAUUUCAACAACUCUAAUGGGAUAUUAAACAUUCCCAACUCUUAAGAUCACCAUCUCAUCAAUUUUACACAAUUAAAAUGAAUGUUUCCCUUCACAAAAGGUUUAGGAUGAGCAGCACCAUCGUCCACACUAAUAAAACUUCCCCAGUGAUUGGCGAUGUUUUUAAAUGUAGAGAUCGGACAAGCAUGGAUCGGAACCCCUAAAGUUGUUCUAUAAUUAACCAAAAUGUUUUCAGACCAUGACUCAACUUUUGUGAACCACCUCAUCGAAAUUUCAAUAAACUCUUUUAUAACCUUCUCCACCGUUAAACUCCAUUAGCAACUUGGAGGCCACCCUCUUCUAACCGCAGAGCAAGGUUCUCAAGAGUACAUAAAUCUCUACACCAUCCCAUAAUACAAAUUGUAGCUUAGAAAGUUUUUCUUCCUCGAUAAUCCCAUCUAUAGGAAUUGACUCUAUCUCUUUCUUACCUGUAGCCACCUCCUCCAUGAAACAAUUCUUGUUUAUAGCUUUUUCACCUCCGAGGGUUCCACUCGUAUCUAGAGAAUCCUUUGAUACCUCCAGAGCCUUUGAAGCGUGCAAAGUUGACCCAUAUUCUAUGUCCAAAUAAAUGGAACCGUUCAGACGAAGCGUCGCCCUUCUUGCAUCAGUAAAGUUUGCGAAUCUCACAAAACCAAAUCUUUCUCCUUUUUAUGAAGACAUCCAUAACCCUGCCGUGAUACUCGAAUAUCUUCCAAAGACCUGUCCAUUGCAUUCGUGGAGGACGAUUCACUACAAAAACAGUAACACAACUCUGUCCAGUGUCCACCACCCAACCCAUUACUCAUUAAUAAAACUCCUACUUCAUCACUUAACUAAAGCUUUCUUUUUGAUAUUUUUAUAUAUUUUAAUUUUGUUUUGUAUUCAAAUAAUUUGAUAAUUAACUUUUAACAAUUAUCCCAUAGUUUUUACUAUAAAUUUAAGGAAGACAAUCUUGAUAAAAUUAGUUUGAGGUAGGAACAGUUUAUUGGAACAGCGUAGUCUUUUAUAGGAUUAAAAAUAUUAAUGCAAGAAAUAAAAAACAAGUGAUUAAAGGUUUAGAACAAGCAAUCAAACUUAUUUUAUGUUAAAAUUUUCGAACAAUAUGAAAAUAUAUAAUUUUAAUUGUUCUUUUACCAAUUAAAUUGAUUUUUGACAGGUUUAACUAUUGACUUAAAAAAGAGUGUUAAUUUGAAUGGUUAAAUGUAAUGAUGCAUGGUUUGUCUGACAUCGUCACAUGGAAAAUGGGAUUAAAAAUGGAAAUUAAGCAAAGGCAAAAUGAAUAUAUUUAUUGUUUUCUAAUUUGGUGUAGGGUGCCAUAUUUGUUGAUAGCCACUCACUAAUACAUUAUAAAUGGAAUAAUUGCCUAUUUUACCUUUUUCAUGAAAUUUAUUGACAUCACCAGCUCAUUUUUCAACCACAUUACUCAAAUGAUUGACAGAGAGAGGUAAAAGUAAUUUAUAAAUGUAUUUCUUUUUUUUCGAGUAUAAUUUGUAUUUAUUUCUAGCCAUUUUUAUAAAGUUAUUGUUUAAAAAAGGGGUAAUUAUCAAAUUCAUAUAUGAUUUGGAUCCAAUGUACAAUUUGAUACAAACUACAAUUUGGUGUAAUUAUACACAUAAACUUGAAUUGUGAUUCAUAUGAGCACAUGAAACUUUGAUUUUGAUUCAAUUGUAUGCAUUUAAUGAAUGUAUACGUUUAAAAAAAAUGAAUAUUUACAUUUAUUUUCAUAUUUGAUUAUAUACAGGGGCGAAACCAGAAAAUUCUUUUAGGGGGCUGAAAUUAAAUUGUAAUUUUUACGAUAGCAAAAAUGUAAUUUCACCAUUUUAAUGGCCUAUAUCUUUAUAAUUUUUAAAUGAUUAAAUCAAAUUUUAUAUUUUUAGCGGAGCAAAGUACAAUUUUACCUUUACUAAUUUAAAAUUUUAAAAGGCCUAAAUAGAAAAUUCACCAUUUCAAGGGGACUGAGACUAGAGGUGAUCAUGGGUUGGGCCCACCCGAAAAAUAGGAGGGUCCAAGUAAAAAUAUAGACCCAAAAUAUGGGUUUCGGCAAAAAAAGAAGCCCGUUUAAAAAACGGGCCGGGCUCGGGUAAAAAUUUUUUGGCCUAGGCCCAACCCGACCCGGCCCGAAUUAUAUAUUAAAUAUAUAUAGUUUUUAUUUUUAAUCAAAUAUGUAUUAAAUAUAUACUUUUUUGGUGUUGUACAAUUUGAUAUGGGUUGGGCUCGGGCUUAGCAAUUUUCUUUUGGGCCGAGCUUGGAUAAAUUUUUAGGCCCAUAUUUUGGGCCCAGCCAAGCCCGAGCCUAAAAAAUGGGCCUAAAAUUUUGUCUGGGCCCUGCUCAGCCCAUGAUCACCUCUAACUGGAACCCCUGUCAGCCCCUUAGUUUCGCCCCAAAUUAUAUAAUAGUUUGUAUAUGCAAUAUAUCAACGUAAAAUUGUGCUAAUUCAAUAAUAUUGUUAGUGAUUUCUGAAAAUUGAAUCAAAUCAAUAUUUCAUAUAUAAAAUUGUACAAAAUCAAAGUUCAUAUACAACAUAAAUAAAUAAAUAAAAAGUUCAUAUAGAACAAUAUACAUUAAAUCAAAAUUUAUAUAUAAUUUUGAUAUUUAUCUCAUUCUUUAUUAAUUAUAACGUGUGAACGAGGUGAAUCCAAAUUUUGUCAUUUAUUUUCCUACCAUCUUUGCGAAAUAAAUUUCAACUUAAGAAGGAAAAAAUAAUUAACAUUUUCAAAUUCUAUCAAGAUAGACAUGUUCAUAGGUCAGACUCUCGGCUUAGGUUCAAAAGUUCACUAAAAUUUUGGGAGGGUUUGGAUAAAAAUAUCAUACCCAAAGAAUGGACUCGAGCAAAAAAAAAAGACCUGUUUAAAAUAUGGGUCGGGCUCGGGCUUGAAUAUUUAAGGCUAGACCCGUUUUAAGUUUAUAAUUUUUUAUAUUAUGUUAUUUUUUAUAUAUUAUGUAAUUUAGAACACAAUAAAAAAUAAACAUAUAGUAAAUAUAUAAUAUAACUCUAAUGUAAACAUUAAAAUAAUAUUAAAAUGACUAUAUAAAAAAUUUCAAUAAAUAAAAAUGUAUAAAUAUUAAAAUAAUAUAAUAUAAAUACUUUUUAAAAAAAUUAAAAAAUAAUAUAAGCGAACCUAAAAUGGGUUUAGAUUAGUUUUUUGUAAAUAUGGGAGUGUUUUGACAAAAUUUUAGGCCUAAAUUUCAAACCGGACCGAACUUAAACAAAUAUAAAAUAUCUUAAUAUCAUGCUUAAACCAACCUAUGAACACUUCUACAUAAAAAUAAUAUAGACGAAUUGAUGUCGUUUAGUUCCACAAGGUCAAACUUCAAAUUAAUACGAGUGUAUUAUUAAAAGUUUUCGUCCUCGCAUUACUUGUAAUUAGUUUAUGUCUUUUAAUUCAUUGAGAAGUAACAAGCAUGUAUGGAUGUCCAUUGUACAGGCCCAUUUUGACCUAAUCCAUUACAACCCAUAACCCAAGCAAAAACAAAACCUACCCAGGCCCAACUAAGCCUAACCCACCAAAACCAAAGCCCAAAUCAGCAACCCAAUUCAGCCCAAUCUACCUAACCCUAGCCAAUUUGUAGAAAAAAGAAACAGCAGCCACCCUAGGUGCGCCGCACCUAGGGCCUUCGUCCACCUACCCCCUGCCACCGCCUCUGACCAGCGCCGCACCUGCUCUCUGCCAUCGCCCAACUGCACCUGCAAGAAGAGAAACCAACACGCAACAACAAAUAGUAGACAUAGAUAAAAAAAAUGUUAAAAUCGGCUAUAAAAGCCGAAACCAGAGGAAUGUAAAGGGUUCGGCCCCUCUUUGACGAUUAAAAGAAAUAAAAGUUUUUUGAAAAUCUUAAAGGUGACUACUACCUUUUUAGAUCUGUUUUUUUUUGUUCUUUUAAAUAUUAUUUUUGUUUUUAAAUACAAACAAAUUAAAAAUAAGAAUAAAGGAGAAGGCUUUUUACCUUACCUGCGCCGCGACGGAGGUGGAGGAAGGCGAACGGUUUCGCCCCAUUUUUUGGGUCUUCGGCUUUCUAUUCAGGAGAUUCAGCCCCGGAUCUGUGGCCUGGAGGCCAUGGACUUCAAAAAAGGACGAAAAAGGUCCGAUUUUGAACCUCCGGCGGCCACACACGGUGGCUCUGCGGCGGAGACUCGUCGGAAAUCUCGAGCCGGACCAUGGCCGGACCUGAGAGAAAAAGAGAGAGUUUUCUCUCUGUUUUUUUAAAAAGAAGAUGAAACUGUUUCUUUUAGCUUUUUUUAGUAUUUAUAUUAAACGUGAAACGACGCCGUUUUAGCAAAAGGAUCCGCGCGUCGACCCGACCCGACCCGGAGGAUCCGCGUGUUUUCAGUUUUUGGGAUAUUUCGCGUGCAGUCCCCCUGAUUUUGCAGCGUAUUACAAUUUUAUCCUUUUGUUAUUUUCUCUUAUUUUUAAUUUAGCCCCUGCAAUUUUAUUUUUAUUUCGACUUGGUCCAUUUCAACGCUGCGUUUUGGGGCUGUGGUUUAUUUGCAGUUUUGGCCCUUUCCUUUUCAGCGCGCGUUGCAAUUCGGUCCUUCUUGUUUUUUUAUUUCAAAUUUGCCUAGUAUAUUUGUUUUUAUUUUGAUUUAGUCCCUUUUUAGCAAUCUUAUUUAUUUUGAUUAAUUAUUUUAAUGUAUUAUCAUUUAUUAUUAUUAUUGUUGCAUUUAUUAUUCUGAUUAUCAUUUACCCAUUCGCAUCGUUUUUGGAUUUGGUUAUACAUACAUACUUAUAUAUAUUUUUAUAUUUUAUAACUUAUAUACAUAUAUCUAUAUUUAUAUUCUUUACCUUCACAAAUAUAUGUAUACGUACCUAUAUAUAUAUAUUAUUUUAUAUAUAUACAUCCUUUUACAUUUUUAGGUUUUUAUAUUUUGUUCAUUAUUUAUUUAUUUAUUUACAAUUUUGUUAUUAUUUUAAAAGAAUGCUUUAACUUUAUUUGCUUAUAUAUUCAUUUUGUAUGCUAUUGAUUUGUCUUUUUUUAUUUAUCUUAUCUUUGAUGCUAUUGCUCGUGUUAUUUUACUUGCAUUAUCAUCAUCAUUUCAUUAUACCCAUUUUUAUUUAGAUUUCGAAAAAGAAAUUUUAGAAAUAAGUAAUAUUCGGUAUUUUGGAUCUUCGAGAGAAUCGAGCCCUAACGUAUUGGGUUCCGACUUUCUUCGUUGAACUUAAAUAAUUGAGAUUAUUCUUUUAAAAAUGAUAAAAAGCUCGUUACCGAGAAUUCAAUAUGUUGUGUCCUAACGCAUUGGAUGUGACACGUUAUUUUUUCGAAACGAGAAUUUUUCUAAAUAAAUGUAAUAUUCAAUGUUUAAUAUUUUGAGAAAUUGUGCCCUAACGUAUUGGGUUGCGAUUUCUUCAUUUGAUUUAAACAAUUGAAUAUUCUUUUAAACUUUAUUACACGAAUUUUUUCAAACUCAAGUUAAACGAUAUCGGGAAUUAAAAAAAGGAUCGUGUCCUAACUUACUGGUCGCGAUAUCUUUUUUUAAUCCAAGAUAGUUAAAUAUCUUUUAAAUAAGCAUUUUUCAUUCGCGUAUCGGGAAUUCGAGACAUUGUGUCCUAACUUAUUAGAUAUGAUUCUCUUUCUCGAAUAGCGUGAAAUAUGCCCCUUUUUCAGAAAUUUUUCAACGUUUUAAUACAAGGAUCGUAUUUUUAAAAUUCUUCAAAGUUCUCAAUUUUCGACAUUAAGACAUUAAGUAGUCAAUUAGGUACCAAUUUUGGGCGUAUCGAGGGUGCUAAUCCUUCCUCGUGCGUAACCGACUCCCGAACCCGUUUUUCUGAAUUUCGUGGACCAAACUUGUUGUUUUAAUAAAAUCAAACCGUUUAUUAAAAACAACUAAUUUUAAGGUGAUCCAAUCACACCUCAUAAAAAAGGAUUGGUAGCGACUCCCGUUUCUUUUUUCAAAACCCAAGUCGACCCCGUUUUCCAUCCAAAAAAUGGUGUCAACAUCCAUCUUCUACCAUAGUUGUCUUCUAAAGAACUUUAUAAAGGGAAGCUAUGCCACUCUAUUUAAGGGUUGGUUUUGGAGAUUAAAGUGUAAUUUUAUCAUCAUAUUAACUUAAGUUUUUUUUUUAAAUUUAAAAACGUGUAAAUGGUAAAUUUACUAUUUUUGGAAGGUCAAGGCUAUUGCUUCCCCUUAUCUUUGCCCUGCUAGUAGUUGACUAACACGGUCUCAUACAGUAAUACUCUUAUCGAAUAUAAAGCCUUGUUUAAAUGGAGAUAUUUAUAAGAGGAAAAAUACUAAAUAAUGCAAGCUCGCCCAUGCCUGGUCACUGUGAGCCCCUUUGUGAGGAAGCACCUGAUCUUCUCUCGAAGUUACGAGGUUAUUUUGUCAAGUUCUUUAGAGAGAGUUGUCUCACACCCCUAGGUAUUCUCUACCUACCCACUUGUGUCGGUUUUGGGUACACGUACCCUUUUGAUGAAGGUCGUUCAAGCUUUUCCUGGAAGUAUAAUUUUUACUUCCACUUACAAUUUCAUAAAAUAAUAAUUUAUCAAAUCAAAAUUAUUCAAAUACAAAUUCAAAAUAUUUGAAUCAAAAUUAAAUUGGAGCUCCUCACUCAGGCUUCUACUUUUGUGCAUUGAUAAUUCAGUGGCAGCACUUCCCCCUUGCCUUAAUUGUUGAAAAUUGAAUAAAAAUUGUACCUUUCAUUUCCUUCCCUCAGACAAGUUGUUCAUUGUUGCUCCCACUCUUCAGUCUUCUCUAAAAUAAUGUAGGAAUCCCAAGUCACUAUAAUUAGGUGAUGAGGAUGGUACUUACUUUUUUUCCAAUAUCAGGGUAUUUAUCGUUAAUAAUAGUGAUUGAUUUUUUUUGUUGCGAAUUUGUACAAGAGCUUAUGUAAGAGUUUAAUAUAGUUCAAUGAUUAUUUUAUAAUUUUUUAAAGUUAAAUAAUCAAAAUAGAAAUUAAUUAACAAUUUAGCUAGAGAGCUUACACGUAGUUUACCCAAAAACAUAUCGACAUGAUCCCCCAUUGGAGUCCGAAGCCAAAGCUCACAAAUUGGGUUAACAUUUGACAUUUGGGGUUUCAAAUUGAGAAUUAAUUGAAAUAGAUAACAAUUAGCAAUUAAUUGAGAAUAAACAAAUUAUAUUCCAUAUAGUGUAGUAUUGAAUAUAUGUUUACUUCAUUAAAGGUCUCUUUUUUAUUCAAUUAAUUUCUCCAACUCAAAUUUAGCAACUUAUUAUGGUACUAUGAGAUUAUAAGAAUGGUUUUUGGAAGUAAAUCAGUGAGUGAAGUUGUAAAAUUACUGAUUUUCGAUUUAAUUACUUUAAUCAUUGGUCUAGUUUCAAUUAAAAAAUUUAUUCAUGAUUUAGCCUAUAAAUUAUAUAUAUUCUCUCACUUUAGUCUAGUUUAGACUUGCCUAUGGCCCUGCUCGAAUGUCCACCUGAAAAGCGAGAUGAUUUAGGUAAAUAUAUAUGCCCAAAAAGUUGGUCUGGAUAAAAAAAUAAUGCUCGUUUUCUAAACGGAUUGGGUCUCAGGUAAGCUUUUCUUGCUCAACCUGGCCCGAAUUUGCAAAAAAAAAAACUAUUGUUGUUUUUUUUACUAUUUUAUCAUUGUUUUUCUAUCAUUUCGUUAUUAUAUUGCUACUAUUUUAUUAUUAUUGUUUGAAUAAUGCAUAACUCUUGUUUUAUUACUAAUUUUGCUACUAUUUUAGGGAUAUUUACUUUUUAAGUUACACUUAUCUCAGUGUUAUAUAUUUAAGUAUUUUUUUUUAAUUUUCAUUUGUUCGGAAACAUUUAUUUCAAAUUUUUUAGUGUAUUUGAUGAAUUAUUUUUUAAAAUUUAUUUUUAUAUUAAAAAUAUAAAAAAUUAAUAUGGGCAGACUAGGCUUUUAACAUUUUAAUCUAAGUUGGGCUUGGAUAAAAUUUUAAGCCUAUUUUUCGAGCUGAACCGAGCUCAGGCCUAGAAAUUAGGCCUAAAUUUUUUACUUGGCCCUAUCAACCCAUGGACAACCCCAGUCUAGUUUCAGUUGGGAAUGAGAAUUACUACUAUUUUGUUGUUAUUAAAUUGUUAAACCAUUGUUUUUUUUUUUUGGUGCCACUUCAAAAAGCCAUUGGGCCUUAGUCAAGACGAGGUAACAUAGAAUAGUUCAGGGUCCUAACUGGAAAAUAUCCCACAUUGAUUAUUGUGAUGUAGAAAGUGGAAAAUAUGUAACGAGCGUCAUUGGAAAGAUGUAUGUCAAACUAGUGGAGCCAUAAAUUGGUAGUUUUCUAAGGUUGGUUUCAAAAUGAAGGGGGAGCUCCCAAGUCAAAAUAAAAUUGUUUAGUAUUUUUUAGUGUUUCCCUUUUAGACAGGUUAAAUUGUGUAUUUAUAUGUAGGGGUGUUCAUUCGGUUAACCGAUCGGUUAAUCGAAUCGAACUUUUUUAAAAAAAAUUAACCGAACGAAAUUUUUUCGGUUAAUUCGGUCGGUUAAUCGAAAAUUAUAUGUUUUUUUAUUUUUGGUUAAAAAUUAACCGAAUUAACCGAAUUAACCGAAUUCCCGAAUUACCCGAAUUAACCUAAUUGAAUCAUACAUAAUUAAAUUAUUUUUAGACUUUAAUACUUUAGUUUUAGUUUUAGUUUUAGAAUUUGUUUUUAUUUAUUAAAUUAUUUGUAAAUUUUAUGAUUGGGUUGGUUUGGGUAAUUGGGUUGGAUUGAAUACUUGGAUUUGGAUUGGGUUUAGGUGAAUAGUGGACCUAUUUAUAUAUUAAUAAUUUUAUUUAUUAAUUUUUUCGGUUAACCGACCGGUUUCGAACCGAAUUAACCGUUAACUGAAAAUUCAUAAAAAAAUUAACCGACCCCCGACCGAAAAAAUUCGGUUAACCGACCGAUUACCGAAUUUUUUCGGUUUUACCCGAAUUAUGCACACCCCUAUUUAUAUGAUAUGAUUACUGUUCACAGAUAUGAUAUCGUAGGUAGGUUCCCAUGCAAAUCAACGUAUACCCUACUUUAGGUUAACAUGUAUUUAUAUGAGGUGGAUUUACAUAGUGCAAACCCACAUCAUGCUGUCUCGUAGAAGGUUGCAAACACCUUACAUGCGAACUCAAAGUGCGAACUGUAAUGGAUCAGUAAUAGUGAAUAUCAUAACAAAAGUAAAUUAAAAUAUUUAAUUCCUUCCAAAUAUUAAUUUCAAUAAUUAUUCAACUCCUAUUAUUUUAUCCUUUUGUAUAUUGAAUUCCUCUAAGCAAAGAAAAUAUCCAAAUUAAAAUUUUUAAUUUUUUUAGACAUAAUAUCAAAUUUAACCUUCAACGUUUACAUUUUUUUGUCAAUUUGGCAAUUAUUCUUUUUUGAGCUAAAUUUGACCCUUAAUCUUUCAAAAAAGAGUCAAAUAUUUUUUUAUGAAAUCUUUUUUUAAUGAAAACAUUAAUAAAAACAUUAAUUUUUUUAACAAUAAUGGUGUGGCAACCCGCAUGGUAGUCCACGUAUACUUCCAUACUAGUAUGACACUAUUUGUAUUAUAUGUCAUGUCAACAAAUAAUUUUAAAAAAGUAUUUAAAAUUCAAAAAAUUAUAAAAAGCUCAUAAUAUGUAAAAUAAAAAAGCAUGAAGUACAUAUAGAUUGUCAUUCAAACUAUCAUAUUUGAAAAUUUAAUGUUAUAAUCGAAAUUUUUUUUAAAAAAAUAACAAUUUAACUCUUUUAAAAUAUUAAUGGUUAAAUUUAACUUUUUAAAAAAAAUUGAAAGUCAAAUUUAGCUCAAAAAAUAAAGAUUAAACUGACAAAAAAUAUAAAUGUUAAAAGGUUAAAUUUCAAAUUAUAUCAUUAUUUUAUUAAACAAACCUUAUUAAAAAUGUAUUUAAAUUUUAUAAAUCUUAUUAAAAUAAUAUUAAUAAUUAUUCAACUCCUCCACACAAAGAAGCAUCCAAAUUAAAAAUAUAUAUUUAAUUCCUUUCAAAUAUUAAUUUGUUCAACUUCUUAAAUUAAGUAAUUAAUCAAUUUUCGUUUUAAACAAAAAACCGGAUAGGAAAACCAUCAUUUUCUCGGGAAACAAACAGAGAAAGCUGCAAACUUUCCAAAUAUAUACCUUACUCGAAAAUCUGCCACGUCUUAUCCUUGAUAUGAUGGUUUCUAACAUUGCCACUUGGCAAGUUAUUCAGUAACAAUGCCAAUCUGCCACCAUUAUGCUUUUCCUUGCAGUACAAAAUUCCAGGAUGCCUUUACUUCUUUUGCCUCUUGGAUCAGCAUUUACUAUCACCAAAAUCAAAAUCCCAACUUUGAAAAAAAAAAAGUUUAAUUUUUAUCCUUUUUUUAAAAAAAUUUAACAAUUUUUUAUUUUCCAUUGUCAACCUUGUAAAAUUCUUUUAUAUUUUUAUGUUUUUAGUGGGAUUUUUACAUUUGUUCCAAAUUAUCAGUUUGUCAAGUUCUUCAUGCUUUCCAUGUCCCAAAGGAUCACAUUUUAUUUAAGAAAUAGAAAAAGACAUUAUUUUUGUUCUUCAUGCAACUUAUAAGUUAUAGAGAAUGAAUUUCUUUGAUUUUAGCAACUAAUAUUAUGAUUCCAACAUUUAGGGUUUUAUAUGUUUUUUUUUCUGUAUGAAUUUGAACUUGAGUUAGCCAUAAAAACCCCACCUUUAAUCUCAAUAUAUGAACUUGGCUUUGCUUCUUAUGGUUAUUAUUGUUUAAUUUAAUUAAUGUCUUGAAAGGGUAUUCUAGUUUAAUUUAAUUAACUAGUCCAUUUAUUUUGAUUGAUAAUGAUGUUGCAGGUGCUUAAUCUUUCCAUUGAAAUGGAGAAAAUCAACUACCAGGACGAGCUGAAGAAAGAGCGUAGGCUUGUUCGGAGUCUCGUAUACGAGAUCGGUUACAGGAAGGAACAGGUGUCCGAAAUGGAACAUAAAUAUGACAAGACAACCACGGCUUUUCAAGAACUCGUUGAUGGCCUUGUAGCGAAAAUUGACUCCAAGGACAGUAGUUUGCGGGAUUGGGAGCUUCGAUAUAAGGAAAUGGGGAAAUGGUACAUAAAUAUGAUGAGACGACCGCAGCUCUUCAAGGACUCGUCGAUGGCCUUGUAGAGAAAAUUGACUCCAAGGACAGUAGUUUACGGGAUUGGGAGCUUCGAUAUAACGAAACCGUGAGACAAUUGAAGGGCGAGAACGCGGUGUUUCACCUUGUGUUUGCUAAAGGUAUACUUUAGAUUAUAUAUUGCAUACAUAGCGAGCAGAAGACUAUGCAUUAAUCCAAUCGUGUACGAUGAACAACAUGUCGUUUUCGAAGUUCCAAGGUUUGCAUUUAGAGCUUUGAUUGAUCUUUAGGCUAUUUUACACAUCUAGUUGCUUAGUAUUAGAUUCGGUGAAGAAGUUGCAACUUUAGGAUAGUGAAGGAGACAUAAAUGUCAGGAUUCGAACCCCAAACUCUGCUUUUAUAUCUGUUAUCACGGGAACCGGAUGAACUUAUGGAAACGAGGCUUGGAACCUAAAAGGAAGCAUAUAUAUUUGAGAUAUUCCGAUUUUCUUCCUGUUGCUAAUGCUUCUAUCAUACACAUUAGGAUUAUGUGAUCUUAUAUAUAUACACACGCAUAUAUACGAGAUACUGAUGAAUUUCUGCCUCCUGUUAUUGCUUAUAUCAUAUGCUUUAUGGACUGUUGCUUUACAUUUUUUAUGCAGAAAUUCAGAAGGAAAGGGAUGAAAAUCUUAAGCUGAAGUGCCAACCUGGCUUUCGAACCAAGUUGGUCGAAGAUUAUAUAUCUCGUAAUGAUAACGAUAUGGAACGAAGUAGCUUGUUGAAUGAAAUGGAAGGGGUUAGCAUACUCAUCUUAAUUUUGGUUUUCGAUAUAUGAACUAUCUUUUGUCGAGUUUGUACCUUUGUGUAAAUGAAUCCUGUUAUCAUGUUUAGGUUCAACGUUUUUAAUGGUUAUGAUUUGCCGAGUAGACUUUUAACAAUUCGGAUUAUAUCUGAUAUAGCCGAAAGAGAAUGUGGCUUGCCAAAAUCUUAUUGAACUCGAGAAAACUACAAGCGAGCAGAUUACUGCUCUAAAGAAAGAGUUGGAGGAAAAAUCAGAAGCGUUGAAAGAUAUGGAAAACCGAAACAGUUGUCUAACGGUGAAACAAGUCCUAACUAAUCAAGAGCUGCAAGAUGUUCGAAAAGAAUCCAUACGUGUAUUUUUCAUGUUUUCCUUUGCUUCCUCCUAUGUUUCCUCUUCGAAAUCGGGUUUAAACUUGAAAGUGUUAAACCCAAGACUUCUCUGGUUUUUGAUGUGCAGGGUUUGAACGAUUUUCUGAAUAACCAGACUAAUCUUAAGAGUGAAAAGAACGGGAGAGAUUGAUCAAAAAGCAUUCAAAGUUGCUUGCUCGUUGAAGUUCCAGGACGAAGAUUGGCGAGAACCGUGUGCUAAAACAUGUUCAUUAUGUUGUUCCAAUAGGGUCGGAAGCGUGUAAAUUAUUGUACUAAAAAAUCACAAAAAGUUCAAUUCCCAGGGAAGAGAGGUGGAUCACAUGGAUCUCUUAAAUACCAAGUCUUUUCUUAGACAGAAUAUCCCUUCUAUAGUAAUUUAAUAGCACAAUUAAAUACUACUAUUAUACCCUCAAAUAUUGAAAGAAAAAUAGGACAAGAAAGAACACAAGAGAUUUAACGAGGUUCGGUAAAUUAUACCUACGUCCUCGGGCACUAACACCAGAUGAUAACUUUACUAUCCCCAAAGUAUUACAAACAAAUAGAAUUCCUUAAGAAUUCUCAAAUGGGAGAAGAGAGAAAACUAAGAGAGAAAGAUUGGUUGGGAUGAAUUGAAAUGAGAAAUGAGAAGGCCUAUUUAUAGUUGAGGUUCAAGGACCAAACAAUAAAUAGCACAUUAUCUCAAGGACCAAAAAAAAAUUAUCCCUUGCCACUUUUCCAAAGUUGGUGGUUGUCAUUAUUGAUUGUCUCCCAUUAAUGUUAAUGGCAACCAUUAUUAAUUGUCUAUCAUUAAUGUUAACAAUCUCCACCUUGAAGAUUUGAUUAGGAUAAUCACAUCUUCACACACUUCCUUCAACUCCCUAAAUUCGAUAAAGCUAUCUUUUGUAGUGCCUACAAAUGCGCUCUCGAGCGCCAUACACCUGAAGGUGCUCAAAUUCUCAGGAUGUUAAUCAAGUUCAAACAAUGAUUAAACUUGAUUGUUGUUACCACCUUGGUCAUCAUAUCUGCGGGAUUAUCUGCUGUCGGAAUCUUCUAAAGUAGAAUUUUUCCUUUUUCAAAGACUUCUCGCACAAAGUGAUAUCUUACGUCAAUAUGCUUGGUUCUUGAAUGAUAGACUUGAUUUUUCGCUAAAUGAAUAGCGCUCUGACUGUCACAAUAUAAACUUAUGUGACUUUGAACAACUCCUAAGUCUUUCAACAAUCCAUUAAGCCAAAUAGCCUCCUUAACAGCUUCUGUAACUGCCAUAUAUUCUGCCUCUAUAGUAGAUACAGCUACUGUAGACUGUAAGGUAGACUUCCAACUCACUGGGGCUUUCGCAAGAGUAAACAAAUACCCCGUAGUUGAACGACGUUUAUCUAAAUCACCAGCAAAGUCGGAAUCAACAUAUCCAACUACAAACUGACCAAGUGCUUCAUCCUGUUCAAAAAUUAAACCAACAUCUACGAUUUUUCAAAGAUACCGUAGAAUCCAUUUCACAGCUUGCCAAUGUCCUUUUCUAGGAUCAUGCAUAUACCUGCUCACAACUCCAACAGCUUGUGAAAUGUCAGGCCUCGUACACACCAUCACAUACAUCAAACUCCCAACUGCAUUAGUAUAUGGGACUUUCGCCAUAUAUUCUCUUUCUUCUUCAGUUUUCAGAGAUAAUUGAGCACUAAGUUUCAAAUGAGAAGCAAGUGGGGUACUUACAUGUUUUGUGUUUUCAUUUACACCAAAACAUUGUAAUACCUUUUUCAGAUAUUGCUUCUGAUUCAAACAAAGCUUGCCUCUCUGUCUAUCUCUACUUAUCUCCAUGCCGAGAAUCUUCUUGGCCUCACUUAGAUCUUUCAUCUCGAACUCUUGAUUCAACUGAGCCUUCAGCUUAUCUAUCUCUUUUUGGCUCUUCGAAGCGAUUAACAUAUCAUCAACAUACAAGAGUAGAUAAAUGAAAGAUCCGUCAUGCAGCUUCUGCAAAUACACACAAUUGUCAUAUUUGCUUCUUGUGUAUUUCUGCCUUCUCAUAAAGCUAUCAAAUCGCUUGUACCACUGCCUCGGGGAUUGCUUCAAUCCAUAUAGCGAUUUGUUAAGCUUACAAACCCAAUUUCUACCACCAGCAUCUGUGUAUCCUUCUGGCUGAGUCAUAUAGAUCUCCUCUUCUAACUCACCAUGCAAGAAAGUCGUCUUAACAUCAAGUUGAGCUAGCUCUAAAUUCAACUGUGCUACCAAGGCCAACAAAAUUCUAAUGGAGGAAUGCUUCACAACAGGGGAAAAUACAUCAUUGUAGUCAAUUCCCUCCUUCUGAGCGUAGCCUUUAGCUACCAAUCUUACCUUGUAGCGAAUAUCCUUCUUGCUAGGAGAUCCAUCUUUCUUUGCGAAUACCCACUUGCAUCCGAUUUCCCUUUUACCUUUCGGUAAUUGCGCCAACUCCCAAGUAUUGUUCUUCCGGAGAGACUGCAUUUCUUCAUCCAUGGCGCUUUUCCAUUUAUCACUUUCUAAGCUUUGCAUUGCUUCUUGAUAAGUGAUAGGAAUAUCAUCAACAACGGGAAGGGCGUAGGCCACCAUAUCAGUAAAUCGAGCAGGUUUACGAAUUUCUCUCCAUGGCCUUGCAACUGCAACUGGUUCUGGUGUACUUAGUGGUUCUUGGGUCAGAACCUCUUCAACCUCUAAUUCCUCCAUUGUGGCUGGAGAAUUAGACUUAUUAACUGGGCAAAUCCCCAUCUGCUCAAACUCCACCUAUUUUGGAGUACACUCCACCUGCUGUGGAGUAUUGCUCGUCUGAAUAUCUUUAUCUGCUACCUUUUUCAAUGUGGCAGAUUCAUCAAAGGUAACAUCUCUGCUACAGAUCAUUUUCUUUGUGCUUAAGCACCAAAGACGAAAUCCCUUCACUCCAGAAGUGAUUCCCAUAAAGAGAGCUUUUUUUGCCCUCGGAUCUAACUUUGACUCCUUCACAUGGUAAUAUGCAGUGGUUCCAAACACAUGUAAGGAAUCAUAAUCUGUAGCCGGUUUUCCAGACCAUACCUCCAUAGGAGUUUUUCUUUCUAAUGCAGAUGAUGGCAAACGAUUAACAAGAUGGCCAGUGUAUGUCACAGCCUCAACCCAAAAUUGCUUGCCCAACCCAGCAUUGGACAACAUACAUCAAACUUUCUCCAGCAAUGUUCGAUUCAUACGCUCUGCCACUCCAUUCUGUUGUGGUGUAUCCCUAACUGUGAAGUGUUGAACAAUACCAUACUCUUGGCACACAUCGAAGAACGGAUCACUUUUAUAUUCCCCUCCAUUGUCCGUCCUAAGCCGCUUGAUUUUCUUGCCAGUCUGGUUUUCGAUCAUAGUUUUCCAUUUAAGAAAAACUCCAAGCACUUCAUCUUUAGUUUUCAUGGUAUACACCCAAACUCUUCUGGAAAAGUCAUCAACAAAAGUAACAAAGUAGUGUUUUCCUCCCAACGAAGGUGUUUUGGAAGGCCCCCACACAUCUGAGUGAAUAUAUUCCAAAAUACCUUUUGUAUUAUGGAUAGCAGUGCCGAAUUUCACUCUCUUUUGCUUUCCCAGAACACAGUGCUCACAAAAUUUUAAUUUGCAAGCCUUUGCACCUUUCAACAAUCCUUGUUUUGCCAGAAUUUGUAAGGAUUUUUCGCUGGCAUGUCCCAACUUCAUAUGCCACAACUGCAUUGAGUCCAAGUCUUUGUUACCGGAAGCUGCAGCGACUGCUCCAAUAACUGUACUACCUUGGUAGUAAUACAAGUUAUUUUUCCUGAUGCCCUUCAAUAUCACAAGUGCGCCAGAUGUCACUUUCAAAACCCCAUCUCUCAUAGUAACAACUGAACCAUUGGAUUCCAAGGCUCCCAAUGAGAUGAGAUUUUUCUUCAAACUGGGCACGUACUGAACAUCAGUCAGAACUCUGGUUGAUCCAUCUUUAUUCUUUAAUUGGAUUGAACCUAUCCCAACAAUUUUACAGGCAUUGUCAUUGCUCAUAUAAACAACUCCUCCAUUUAGUUCUACUAAAUCAGAGAACCACUCCCGGUUAGGGGACAUAUGAUAGGUACAACCCGAAUCCAAUAUCCACUCAUCUGAAUGGAACGACGAUGAUGAUGCAACCAGUGAUAGUUCAGAGUCACUAGUAUCAUGCUUAGCAACACAAGCAUCUACAGCAGCUUUUCCCUUAUUCUUCAGCUUUGGACAAUUUUUCUUCCAGUGGCCUUUCUCAUGACAAAAAGCACAUUCAUCUUUCCCGAGUCUGGACUUUGACUUUGAUAUCCCCUUUUGAGUUUUCUUCCGAGUGUAUGAACGACCUCGGACUACUAAAGCUUCUGUAUCUCUGAUUGAGUUUUUCUGUUUGUCCUUCUUUCUCUGUUCAUAACUGUAUAAGGCCGCACAGACUUCGCUCAGAGAUAUAUCACUCCUGCCAUGAAGUAGAGUAGUUUCUAGGAACUCAAACUCCUCAGGAAGUGACCCCAACAGCAUCAAAGCCAAAUCUUCAUCUUUGAAUGUCUCAUCCAUAUUCAGCAAAUCAGUGACUAACUGAUUAAAUUUGGUGAUGUGAUCAUUCAUUGUGGUACUUACGUAUGUGAAGCGAAACAGUCUUUUCUUCAAGUGGAGCUUAUUUUGACUGUUUUUCUUCAAAAAAAUUUCUUCAAGUGCCACCCACAACUUAUUUGCAGAAGUCUCCUUUGAAAAAGCAUACAUCUGCUCUCGAGAAAGGCAUGAUCGAAUUGUGCCACAUGCCAACCGAUUGAUCGCCUUCCAAUCUUUCUCCUGUACAUCAUCUGGUUUCUCUUCAUCAAUGGCAAUGUCUAGACCCUGCUGAAAAAGGGCAUCUAGAACCUCACUUUGCCACAUACCAAAAUGGCCCGUGCCAUCAAAGAUUUCCACGGCCAAUCUUGCAUUUGCAAUUGUCGGUCUUGUCCACAUGGACGAUGUUGAAGCUCCUACACCGACCGUUUUCUCCAUAAUCUUUCAAUAUAUCUAAGGAAAUCUUUUCUGAUGUGGAAGAUCAGUUUAAACUGCAACCACAGAGCAUACUACGAUUAACCUUCGGCUCUUGAUACCACUUGUUGUUCCAAUAGGGUCGGAAGCGUGUAAAUUAUUGUACUAAAAAAUCACACAAAGUUCAAUUCCCAGGGAAGAGAGGUGGAUCACAUGGAUCUCUUAAAUACCAAGUCUUUCCUUAGACAGAAUAUCCCUUCUAUAGUAAUUUAAUAGCACAAUUAAAUACUACUAUUAUACCCUCAAAUAUUGAAAGAAAAAUAGGACAAAAAAGAACACAAGAGAUUUAACGAGGUUCGGUAAAUUAUACCUACGUCCUCGGGCACUAACACCAGAUGAUAACUUUACUAUCUCCAAAGUAUUACAAACAAAUAGAAUUUCUUAAGAAUUCUCAAAUGGGAGAAGAGAGAAAACUAAGAGAGAAAGAUUGGUUGGGAUGAAUUGAAAUGAGAAAUGAGAAGGCCUAUUUAUAGUUGAGGUUCAAGGACCAAACAAUAAAUAGCCCAUUAUCUCAAGGACCAAAAAAAAUUAUCCCUUGCCACUUUUCCAAAGUUGGUGGUUGUCAUUAUUGAUUGUCUCCCAUUAAUGUUAAUGGCAACCAUUAUUAAUUGUCUUCCAUUAAUGUUAACACAUUAUGGCAACAUAAUGUGCAGGAUCCGAAUUGGCACCCGUAUAAGAUGAUCAACAUCCGAGGCAACUUGCAUACACCGAUUGCUCAGAAAACCGUACUGUUAUCAAACAUCUGUUGUUCUACGAAAUGCGAGCUGGUUCAUUACUCAAAACUUACAUAUUAAUGGGAUGCCUUCUCGGUAAUGCAGGAAAUAAUAGACAAGGAUGAUGAGAAGCUGAAGGAGUUGAGAAAUGAAUAUAGUGACACAGCGUACGAGGCUGUCAGCACCGCACUGAUGGAAAUGAACGAAUAUAAUGCCAGCGGAAGGUAUGCGAUCCCGGAAGUUUGGAACAGAAAGGAGGGAAGGAGCGCUACCAUGAAAGAAAUCGUUCAGUACGUCGAGCAACUGAAGAUUCACAAGCGUAAGCGAUUUUCUUAAUGCUGAGCUUAGCAGUCCAUUGCUUUCAUGGAAAAUAAGUAGAAUUAUACACAAUCCUUAGGUAGGUAUUAAAUUUUAGAAUUAUAUUUGACAUUAAAAAGAGCUAUUUGUUCAUUCCAGCAUGAGCUCCAAAAUUAGGCUCCAUAUUUACAAACCUAAAUUAAACUUACUCCAUAUUUACAAACAGAAAUUAAACCUACCUACGAUAGUUGCAUAAAAAAAUAUUAUCAAUUUAAAAAAAAAAGUAAUUAAGUUGUUGGUAUUUUUCAUUUAAUUAAAUACUUCACUUUUUAAAAUGUAUCAAAAACUUUCUUUAAAUUUUAAAAAAUAAUAAUUAAAUCUUUGUUUUUCUUUUACAUACUCAAUGGCUACUUCAACUAUCAAAAAAAAAAAAAAAAGAAAAGACUUUUUGACAAUUAAAAGUAACUGCUUUAAUUUUUUUAGUUAAAGUCAUUCAGCGUCACAACCAUACAGGCGUGAUGUGUAAUAAAAAAUUAUAAAAAAUAAAAAUUAAUAAAAUUAUUAAAUUCUAAUAAAAAAUAUAAAAAUAUUUAAAAUUUAUUUAAAAUGUCAUAAAUGUAUAAAUAAAAUAUAUUAAAAAUGUUAUUUAACCACUAACUUUAAUUGUUGACUAGUAAAGUCCAUAAUUUUUUUUUCAAUUAAAGCCAUCAUGUGUCGCAAUGCAAUGUGACCUGUGAUGAAAAAUUAUAAAAAUAAAAAUCAAUAAAAGUUACAGAAAAAUUAAAAAAUAUUUCUUUUGGUACAAUAAUUUUUAUAAUUUUUUUAUAAAUUUUAUAUUUUUAAAUUUUUAUAAUUUUCUUACUAUUUUAUAAAAUUUUAUAACUUUUGCAUUUUUUUAUAAUUUUAAAUAUUUUAUAAUUUUUAAAUUGUUUAUAAAUUUUAACUCUUUUUUAUUAAAAUUUAAUAAUUUUUUAACUUUGAUUUAUUUUUAUUUUUUUUAUAUUUUUUUACAUGUCACACUAUAAUUGUGACCUUUAGUGUUUUACCAAAAUAUUAGGAGUGGUUAAUUUUAACAUUCAACCGCUAAAAUUAACAAUCACAAGACUUUUAACAGUUCAAAUAUUCAAUUGGAUAAAAAAAUUUAUUAUUUAAUAAAAUAUAUUAAAAUAAGGGUUUCGACUCAAAUCAUGAUGAAUUGAGCCAUCGAACUUGAGAAAUUAAAAUGUGAACAGAAAUGGGCUCUUCAAAAACCCUUACCCGAGCCCAAGAAGAUCCCCCAAAAACCUUCAACUUAUAACCCUAAUUUGCCUCUCAACUACACUAUAAAUCCUAUCUUCAACAAGACUCAUUCAGCAUUUAUAUCUUCUAAAAAACCCUUCGUUCGUCUAAGGUUUCUCUUUAGAAAUUUUCUCUUCGCAGAGAGUAAUUUUUGCCUUCAUUUUUUUUUCUCUUUAUUUUCCCAUUUUCAAUCUGGGGUUUUUUCCAAAAUGAGUUAAAAAUCCAAUCUUUACACUAGAUGUGAACCCUAAUCACAUUUAUUUUAUCUGGGUUUUGAAUAAAAUCUACACUUGUUUGUAUACUUAUGAAAUAAAAGAACCAUUUUUAAUGCUUUGUUUCUUAACAAGAGUGCAGAAAUAAAAAGCUUGAUUUUUUGCUUCUUUUAAAACAAAGAAACCAAGGAUUAAGCAGCGGCCAGACAACCGUAGCGAUGAUAUCCACAGAUGAAGGGCUAAUUUCUUCUUUAAUCCCUUUUUUGUCUACUGAUUCCAUCUCACAUUUCGUUUUUUAAGUUUUUAGGGUUCAUCACUUUUGAAUUGAUUGAAAAAGCUCUAAUCAAAGUUGAAACUUGGUUAAAAAAUGGGUUUUUUUAUAUGAUUUUACCAUUUUCAAUGCUUUUUUUUUAUGUUUUUUCAAUUUGUAAAAUCAAAUGAGAAACAAUCUCAAAAAAGAAAAAACGACAUUAAUCUAUCAAUCAAUCAAACUGAUUUUGAUUUGAUCAGAUAAAAAAUCAUUAAAUAUCAUAUUCAUGGGAAUUGCAGAGGUUUACUGUUGUAAUUCUUACGAUAUUUUAUCAGAUAUAUUUUACAUCUUAAUAUAUCAUUAAUAUAAAGUCAAAUUUUUUUAACAGGUUAUAUUUUGAUAUUAGUCCCUAUAUUUUGUUGAAGUUAUGAAUUUAGUCUCUAUAUUUUUUAAAUUUUAAUAUUUUAGUCUUUAUUAAAUGAUAAUUGUUAAAAGUUAAAGUUUUGUUAUUUUUAAAAUCUAUUGCAUCAAACAUAUUAUCACAUGCUCAAUGUCAUGUCAACUUGUUAUUUUCAUGUAUUCUUUACUAAAAAUUUAAGGGUAAAUUAUCAAAAUAGUCACUUUUGUUUGACUCAGGUUACAUUUUAGUUACUUACGUUUGAAAUGUUACGUUUUAGUCACUUAUGUUAUCACGUUGUAACAUUUUAGUCACUGAGCCGUUAGUUUUUGUUAACGGUGCAACAGUAAACUGAUGUGGCACGUUAAAUCAUCAUUUCAAACAAAAAUUCUAGGUUAACUUAUACAAUCGGUCCUCAUAUUUUUUCGUUUUGAGCAAUUUAAUUUUUUUCUUUUAUGUUUUUUUUAACUUUCUUUCUUUUCCAUUCUCUUAUGCUUCUCUCUUUGUUUUCCUCCCUUCUCCAUUUCUUUCAACGUAGUUUUUCUAUGUUUUAUUUUUUUGAACAAUUUAAUUUUUUCGAGUGAGGCGAGCUUGUGGACUAGUUACAAAUGGAAAGCAUAGAAAAACUAUGUUAAAAGAAAUAAAGAAGGGAGGAAAAUAGAGGGAGAAGAAUAAGAGAAUGGGAAAAAAAGUUAGAAGAACAAAAAAGAAAAUUUUUAAAUUGUUGAAAAUGAAAAAAUAUAGGAACCAAUUGUAGAAUUUAACCUAAAAUUUUCGUUUGAAAUGAUGAUUUAAUGUGCCACAUCAACUUAUCGUCCAUUGUCGACAAUUAACGACUCAGUGACUAAAAUGUUACAACACGAUAACGUAAGUGACUAAAAUGUAACAUUUCAAACAUAAGUGACUAAAAUGUAACCUGAGUCAAACAAAAGUGACUAUUUUGGUAGUUUACCUAAAAUUUAAUUAAUAGAUUAACAACUGUUAUUUGAGUCGAAACUAAAAUAUAAAAAAUUACGACUUAAACUGAUCCAAUUAAAACAUAUGGACUAAAUCUACAACUGUGCUUACAAUACAUAAUUAGCAAUUGAAUUUAAACAAUUAGAUUUAACAAUAACUAUUUGUGUUAAAAGACUAAAAUUUAAAAAAGUACAGAGAGUAAAUUUGAAAUUUUGACCAAUUUGAAAAGUACAGAGACUAAAACUAACUAAAUUAAAGUACAAUGACUAAAUCCAUAAUUUUUAUAAAGUACAAGGAUUAAUAGAAAAUUGUAACCUUUUUAAUAAAGUAAUUUUGAUUUUUAUUAAUUUAUUUAUAUCUUUUGCUUUUGUAAAUAUAAUAUUUUUAAAUAUUAUUUUGAUUUUUUAUUAUUUUUCAAAAGUUUUUACUUUUAGAAUGAAUGGUCUAAUUUAACCUUCAGUCCAAUUCUUACAAAAUUGAUAAACACUAACAAUGCAUAAUUUAAUAAAACUUUUCAAGUAAUUUAUAAAAAAACACUCAAAUUAAGUAAAUUAAACACACAUUUCAUUUUAAAUUAAAAUUAUAAAUAUUUAUGUGUUAAAAAAUAAAAAUAAAGUAUCAUCGAAGCUGCGGGCUGCAAUCUUCCCAAGCAACUUCAGCCCCCAUUACUUCCCCACUCUUUUUUUUCUCUUUUUACCAACACUCAGAAAAUCAAAAUUUUACCACACUUUCCCUCAUUUUCCCGGAAAAUAAAAUAAAGAUAUUAAAACCAAACAAAAAUCCAAAAAAGGAACUCGGUGAAGAUUUAGAUUUAGACCCUGAAAUUUUUGCCAGUGAAAGUUUGACCAAAUUGCCAAUGAGAAGGGACAAUGUUCCACGAAGUAGAGGUCCGAUGGUCGCUGCCGGUGACCCUAGACGACAGAGAUUGGCCGACUAAAACGGCGUUGGAUUGCCAGUUUUGGCCUCAGUUUCGGCUCAUGCUCAUCCACUCCGUUUUCGACCCUUUAAUGCUUGCUUUCACGAUAUCGCCGGCGCCGGCCACGUUUGUGAUUAGGACCAAGUUGAAGUAUCGGAAACCGUUGAUUGUGAAUCUGAUUCCUCCUCGUUUCUGGCAUGGCACCCUGAAGAAUCAUACGAAAAAGGAAAUGAAGAUUGGGUCAAAUCUAUUGACACUAAUUGUUGAAGUUCGAAAAUCGGUCUAAUAUUUAAGAAGGUAAAAGCGUUUGAACGGGAUGAGAUCAUCUCAACAUAUUGGUUAGACCGCGAAUCGAUUAAAAUAUCGGAGAAAGUAACUUGAUCAAUUAACUCGAAACUAAUACAAAUCAAGAAAAUUACUAGACAAGUUAACUCGGGAUUUGAUACAUCUAAGUUUGAUUUUUAUUAUAUAUAAUUUUAAUUUCGGUUUUAAAAAUAAAAAGCUAAGGGAAUAUACCUUCUAAAAUAGAGAAUAAAAGGGGCGCAACUGGCUAAUCCUUUGUUCUAUUGGCUAUUGCUAAUGCCUUGGAAGUUGAAAGUGUACCUUACUUUGAUUAGUGAAUGGCCGAAUAUGCUUACAAGAAUAAAUUAAGAAAUUCAACGUGGCUUAACAUACAUUUGUAUUUACUGUCACAUGAAUUUGGAUAACAACGAUUGAGAUGGAGAGAAAAAUCAUAUCCAAUUAUGUUUAACACUAGCAUUACGUACAUAAGCUCACACCGACUGAAGAAAACUUUACAUAUACAAGUAGAAGAAAUUUCCGAAUGAACAAAGUCAGUCUUCGCAUCCUAGUUGUUGUUCCAUUCAAUCUCUGUAUGCCCAAAAGAAAAUGAGAGAAAACAAUUACUACGACUAAUGACAUUGUUGAUAACAGGAAAUAUCAUUGUCAGAGAAUUCAAGACUCAAGAGGGAGCAUAUAUAAUUAAUCUAUACUAUAUUACCAUACAUAUGCCCUCAAAUAUUUUUAAAAUUAAUCGUUCAAAUCUAAAUAUAUAUUUGAAAAGAGUAUACGAUAUUAUAAAGGAUCGUAAAAAUCGAAAUAAUAUUUAAUUCUAUAUCGUCUUCUAGAAAGAACAUGAGCUAUGGUGAUAAAAUAUUCGAAUUAUUCCUCUAAUCUCAUUUAUAUCAUAAUUUAAAUUUGAAGAACUUACGAGUAUCGAUGAGAAAACCCACAGGGUCUUUAAUGAGGGAGUUGUUUUAAUUUCUUGACUUAAAUUCAUUGAUUCUAAGGAAGCCUUUACAAACAGACAUAAUUAUUAAUUGAUCCAAUUUCAACAGCAUAAAGUAGGAUCAUAGGAUAAGGGCUUAGACAGAAACAACUUUAUUCUUUUUCUUUUAUGAGCGAAUCCAAAAAUUUUAUGUUGGGAGUUGUUUUUCCGCAAGUGGUGGGAACGGGCAUCAAUUAUUGCUUAAAAGUUAAGCUUGUAAUUUACAAUCAAGGCAUCCAUCAUUUUCUUCAUCCUGGUUAAUGAUAAUUCGAGAUAAAUGUUCCAUUUCCAGUUAAAAUAAAAAUUUUCUCAAGUUAAUUGUUUGAGGAGUAAAUUUAAAAAUAAUAAUAAGAUUGUUUUCUAAAUUAUAAAAAUAAAGAUACAUCAAAAUUAAAAUUUUAAAAAUAUAAAAAUUUUAAAAAUUAACAUAGAAUACACAUAGAUUGCUAUGUAGGUUGUCGUGUUUAAAAAUUUAACAUUUUAAUUAGUAUUCUAGUUUUUUUUUAAAAAAAACAUCAUUUCAGCUCUUUUUCAAAACUAAUAAAUAAGAUUAGAAAACUAAAAAUCGAAUAAAGAAUCGAAUUUAACUAGAUGUUGAGGCUUGUUUUACACAGUUUCCUUAACACAAAUUUGUCCGCUUCUACGGUACUUGGAGAAACAUUGGUCGACUGUCUCCCAUGAUACAAUAACACGAUGACUGAAAUAGCAUCACCUUUACAUGAAAUUGGCUGAUAUUAUGACGAUACUAGGUAGCAUAGAUAUCAUUAUGGGAGAAGUGGAUCGUUGAAAUGAUAAUUUAUACGACAGAAGUAGAAUAUAUCAAUUCCUUUUACACAUUGGAAUCUUUAAAAGAGGUCUAUGGGAUCAUAUGGAUGUUGGUCCCUAUUUUGACUCUUGUUUUGGGAAUCACAAUAGGUGUACUAGUAAUUGUAUGGUUAGAAAGAGAAAUAUCUGCAGCAAUACAACAACGUAUUGGGCCUGAAUACGCCGGUCCUUUGGGCAUUCUUCAAGCGCUAGCAGAUGGAACAAAACUGCUUUUCAAAGAAAAUAUUUUUCCAUCUAGAGGCAAUACUCGUUUAUUUAGUAUUGGACCGGCUAUAGCAGUCAUAAGAGACCAAUGAACAAACCUUGCAUUUUUCUGUCACCGGAACGUUGGAAAAUAUAGAGAGGAAAAGAGAAGAAUUUUCGAGAGCAAAAUAAACUUGGUUUUAGAGAGUCUUUUAGUGUAAAAAAUUUGAAGAAUUCUUAAGCAUUCAAGAUGGAGGAAUUUUGGAAAUAUCCAUAAUUAAAUAUAUAAAAUUUGUAUUAAAUGAGCAAUUAAAUCAUAAUAUAUGUCUUUUUUAAAUUAGAUUUUAUAUAUAUUUGCUGAGAAAAAUAAAUUUUGUGUUGGGCUUAAAAUAUCUAUCCCUUUUUGGGCCUGACCAGUUUAGACAUUUCACGUUGCCUACGUCGUGCGAGUGCGCUCCAACCCCGAUGGGUUUGGAUCUACACCCCUGCGCGUGAGACAAAGUUUCAAACUUAGUCAUUCAAUCAUCCUUCAAGUGGGUUCUCAUAUAUAGAGACAUCUCACACUUGGUAUUCAAUCAAUGUGAGAUCUAAGCUUUUCUUUUCCUCAACAAAUAUUCACAAGUAACUUACUUUGAGCAUUAAUUUCUCACUUAUCACUCAACCAUUUUGAGCAUACGAUAUACUGUUGUAAAGAUAUCAUUGAGUAGAAUAUAAAAUCAUAAUUUUAUGAUUCAAUUCUCCACCUUUACCAAUUGAGAAUAUGCUUUAAAGUUUCCAAAAAUUACAAUUUUUUCAACAUUUUAUACAUCUAUUUUAAAGGCAUAAUUGAGCCAAGUAGAGCCCGAAUAAUGACAAGUUGAACUUGACUCGAACAUCACUUUUUAAGGUCAAUCUUGAUUUAGAACAUAAUUGAGUUGAUUAAGCUCGUUUAUCAAUUUUUAUAAUCAAACCCAUUCAUAAUUAAGCUCUUUCUAUAUAUCAAGGAUAAAAAUGUAACUUCAUAAAUAAAAAUAUAUUUAAAUGGAAUGCUUAAUUAGGUUUGUGGCCUACUUGAAUCAAGUAUUACAAUAUUUAAAUUCGACUCAACCAAUAGCUCGAGCUCUACUCAAUAAUUUUCAAUAAAAUUUUGAGAUUUUUUGAAUCCAACUCGAAUUGCUUGCAAAUAUUAAUGUAUCACUUAUGCUUUUAAUUUUAAAUUUACAUUUUUAAUUCUUAAAAUAUUAUUAAAACCCAAUCAAUUGAAGGCUUUGUAGAAAGUGGUGGCAAAGUGCAUCCUUUACUUUAGGUCUCACUAUAUCUAAAAAGAAAUUAAUGCGAACCGUAGAAAGUGGUAGGAAUGUGCAUCAUUAUUGCUUUAAAAGAAUUUAAAUCUUUAAACGGAUAGAAUUAAAUUUUCAUAAUUUGGAGGAGUUAAAGUGUACUUCUUUUUACUAUUUUAAAAUUUUAAAAUUUUAAAAUUUUUUAAAGAGUUAAAAUAACAUUUUUUAUUUUAAGAGGGCCGAGCUCCCUGUCAACCUCUAGAUUUACCUCCGUAAAUUUCAAAAUUCAGUUAAAUUAUGUUAUUUUGAAUAAAACGUUAAUUGAUAAAGAAAUUCUUUUAGUUUCAAAAAUUCAAUUUUUCUGUUUUAAAAAAAUAUAUAUUAAAAUUUAAAAUUUAAAAUAUUAAAGUAAUAAAAUUUAAAUAUAUCAAUGUCUUUUUGAUACAUGCAUGAAUGGGGUGAAACUUAUUAGAUUCCAAUCAUCAAAACUGCCAAUUUUCAGGCUCGGAAAAUCAGCAGACUUGCGGCGACUGGAUCCUGGUAUUUUUGGGUUGAGAUGUCUCAUGGCGUUUAAAGAUCUAUCUCUUAGCUUUGAAACGCAUUUUGAAUAACUCGAUUUUGAGUUCGGGAGCUCAAGUUAUGACCGUUUUAGUGAAGACUACGCGAGAAGAAUUUCUGAACGGGAUUAUGACGGGAAUUACAAAUUUCGGGCUUUUAAUUCGAGUUUAAAUCAUAUUGGAUUCGGGUUUUAGACUUAAUUUUUAUUAUAUAUGAGCCCAAUAUUAUAUUUGUCAGAUCUUAUUAUUUUAUUAUUAUUUUAUUCUAAUUUUUUUUAUAAUUAUUAAGUAUUUUAAGUUAUUAGAGUUCUAGUAUUUUAAGCUAUAAAGGCCAGAAAAAUGUAUUCUUGGGGGUGAUUUUUGAAGGUAAAAAAGCAACAGAAAAUCAAUACAAAAUAAUCAAAAAUUUCAAACAAAAAAAGAGAGAUUUAGAAGGUAGUUUUUUUUUCUCUGUUUUUGUUUGUUUUAUUUAUUAUUUUUUCUUUCUUUUUCUAAACAGAAACACAGAAAAUAAAACGGGACCGAAAACUCACCUUUUUAGAGGGAGGGCUGAGAGAGAGUUGAGCAAGAAGAGAAGGAUUUUUUUUUUAAAAAAAUGAGGUUACCAAUGAUUUUUUAAAGUUUUUUUAAAUUAUAUAAACACCCCAAAACGACGUCGUUUUGAGUUUGGCUUCUGACACUUAAAACGGCGUCGUUUCACCCUUGACCCGCGUGCGACCUGACUCGCUCCAUGGGGAUCCUCGUGUUUUCAAUUUUUAGGCUAUUUACGCCUCUGGUCAUCCCGCGUUUUCCGGUUGUUUUAAUUUAGUCCCUUUUUUACUUUUUUUCUCUUUAUAUAUUUGGCCAUUGAUUUUGUGGCGUGUUUUAAUUUAGUCUCUGGCUCGCUAAAAAGGACGCGUGUCAAGGAGAUCGGGUUAUUUUCCCAUUUGGUUCUCGUUUGUUUUCGGGCCUUUCGAAUUAGUCCUUUGUUCUUUUUUUAUCUUAAUUUAUCCUGCUAAUUUAAUUUGAGUAGCAAUCGGGUCCUUUAUUCAUUUAUUUUUGUGUAUCUUUAUUGUGUAUCUUUAUUUAUUUUGCUUUAUUAUUUUUACUUUAUUACUCCUUUUUAUAUAUUUGUUUAAAAUUGGAUUGUGUAUAUGUUUAUUAGUUUUUUUUUUCUUUUGGUUAUCAUUCUUUUACUUUUUAAAUAUUUAAAUCUAAUAUUAUGAACAUUUACUUUAUCUAUUUACUUAUUUAUUUAUUAUUCUUUUACUUUUCAAACGCUUAAAUUUAAUAUUAUUUACAUUUGUUUUAUCUAUUAUUCACUUAUUUUUUCUUUUACUUCUAAAGAAAUUUUAAAUUCGAUAUUAUUCGUAUUUGUUUUAUUAAUUUAUUUUUUAUAUUUCAAUUUAAUGAUAUUUGUUUUAUCUAUCCAUCAAUUUAUUAUAUAUAUAUAUAAUUAGAUACCACUUAUAUUCAUUAAGCAACUUUCAUUUUCAUUUAUAUUUUGAAUUAUUUUAUUUAUUGUGUUGUGGUGUUAUAAAUUGAUUUUUUUAUUAUUGCUAUAUUCACUGUUAUUGCCAUAGUAUUUGGUCAUUUAGUUGUCAUUUAGUAUCCUAAUAUAAAUCGUACUCAUAGUCAUAUCACAUUAUUUCAUUACCAUUGUAUUAUACACUAGGUUCACACAUAUUUAUCCAUUUUUUUAUAGACGAUGCCCGAAUUAAACAUGUAUGCCUUGUAAGUGUUACAUUAAUAUUUUAUUCGGUGCACAAAAAGAAAAUUAUUUUAAAUAAGUAAUAUUUCGUAUUUUAGAAUUCGUAAAUUCGUUCCUUAACUUACGGAGUUUCGAUCUUCUCGAUAAAUCUAAAUAAAUGAACCUUUUUUAAAAACAUAAGUUUUUAAAUAAUCUCAGGAAUUAAGAAGAGAUCGUGUUCUAACUUAAUGGAUAUGGUUUCAUUCUAAAACUGAGAUAAUCGAAUAUCUUUUAAAAUAAAUAAAUUUUCGGUGUUUAUUCUCGUUUCGAGGAUUUAAGGUAUUGCGUCCUAACUUACGGGAAGUAAUCCUUUUUCUCGAUUAACGUAAAAUAUUUUUUUGUAAAAAUUCAAUUAAGCGAUAUUGUAACAAAGGAUGGUAUUUUAAAUCUCUUUAAAGUUUUUAAUUUUCGACAUUAAAACAUUAAUUCAUCAAUUAGGUACCAAUUUUUGGCGAGACGAGUGUGCUAAUCUUUCUUCGCACAUAACCGACUCCCGAACCCGUUUUUCUUAAAUUUCAUAGACCAAAAUCAUUAUUUAAGUAAAAUCGAAACGUUUUAUUAAAAUGAUUAAAUUACAAGGUGAUCCGAUCACAUCUCGAAAAAAUAUCGGUGGCAACUCCAGUUUUUUCAUUUUCAUUUUUAAAAUAAAAGUAGACCCCUUUUGUUUCAAAAAUGGAGAAAGUGUGUUCCUAUCUUUUGUCAGCUUUACCAAAAGGGAAAAUAAUUGGCGAUAGAAUGUUGCUUUCUUUUGUCAACUUUUUAGCUGUAUCCACUAAAUGAUAAGAACUGCAUUCUCAAGUAUUUGUGUUUCUUUAGGAUUCUAUUGUUUACAUCUCAAUUUUUUUUUUACAUUGAGUUGCACUUUGUCAAAUUACUUCUCGCAUUACUCUGUUAAGAAAAUUAUCUUUUCGCUCGUUCGUAACUACGAGAACUAAUCGCUGAAUCCUUCUCUUAUUCGUUGGAAAGGUACGCCAUCUGCUUUCAUUUUGGUUGAUUUGGUCUUACUUCUUGGUUUACAGAAGCUUUACUUUUUGCUCAUUUGAUUUGUAACUUUUUCUUCUGAUUUUGUUUUAAUCUUUGUUGUCGCUGUGGUUAUUCAGUUUACUUCUUGUUUGACCUCUCAAUGGAGUCUGUUACUACCCUAGUUGGCUCUAUUGUCACUAAAGCUGUAGAGUAUACGAUCUCUCCUAUCAAAAACCAUGUCAAAUACCUUUCCAAUCAUCAGCAAUAUGUUGAGACCCUCAAGGACCGAGCUGAGAGGCUGAAAGAUGCAAGGGACAGAGUGCAGCAUUCUGUUGAUGCAGCUCAACGAAACGGUGAAGAGAUCGAAGGGGAUGUUGGCAAAUGGUUGUCUGCAGUCGACAAAAAGAUUCUUGAACAAGCAGAGAAAGUGAUGCAAGAUGAAGAAAAAGCAAAGAAAAAGUGUUUCAUUGGUUUGUGUCCUAAUUUCAGGACUCGUUACAAGCUUAGCCUGAAAGCCGAAGAGGAGGCAAAGGCUGUUGCCGAGCUACUUGAACAUGGCAAGUUUGAAAGGGUUUCCUAUCGUGCAGCUCCGCAAGGUAUCGUGGUUGCACCAGUUAAAGGUUAUGAGGAAUUCGAGUCAAGAACGUCCAUUUUCAAUGGAAUAAUGGAGGCACUAAAAGAUGAUAGCGUCAGCGUUGUUGGGGUGCAUGGUAUAGGUGGGAUUGGAAAAACAACGCUGGUCAAAGAAAUUGCUAGAAAGGUCAAGGACAAGUUGUUUGAUUCGGUUGUCAUAGCAACCGUAACUCAAGCCAUCGAUAUUGAGAAGAUUCAGAACCAAAUUGCAGACUUCUUGGGCUUGAAAUUUGAGGAACAGAGUAUGGUUGGAAAGGCAUUUCGACUACGAGAAAGAUUGAAGAAAGAGGAGAGGAUUCUGGUUGUCUUGGAUGACAUUUGGGGAAAGGUUGAUAUUGAGGAAGUAGGGAUUCCUUUGGGAGAUGAACACAAGGGCUGCAAAUUACUAUUAACUUCUAGAGAGCUCAAUGUUUUAUCAAAUGGGACGGAUGCUCAGAAAAAUUUUCCCAUUGGGUUUUUAAAUGAAAAGGAAGCCUGGGACCUGUUCAAGAAGAAGGCUGGCGACUGUGAUGAAAGUUGCGAUUUGAAGCCUAUAGCUAUGGGGGUAGCCAAAAAAUGUGCAGGACUGCCGAUAGCUAUUGCGACAGUUGCAGGGGCUUUGAGAAACAAAAGAUUGUUUGAAUGGAAGAAUGCUUUACGAGAACUGGAGAGGCCUUCGUCAAGCAACUUCACGGGGAUAACUGCGGCAUAUUCAGCUAUAGAGUGGAGUUUUAAUUAUUUAGAAAGCGAGGAAGUUAAGCGGACUUUCUUGCUUUGCAGUGUAAUAGGCCAUAAUGGUCUCGUUGAGGACUUGGUAAGAUACACUCUAGGUUUGGGUUUAUUUGAUGGUGUCAACACUAUGGAAGAAGCUAGAAAUAAAGUAUUGACGGUUGCGGCUAAUCUCAAAGCGUCUGCCUUGUUGCUUGAUAGUUAUAAUGAUAAGCGCUUUGAUAUCCAUGAUGUUGUUUGGGAUGCUGCUAUAGCUAUUGCAUUGAAGGACUACCGUAUGCUUGUUUUGAGAGAUCAUGCUCCAAAGGAGUGGUCCGAUAAGGAGAAAAUGAAGACGUGGAGUGUGAUCAGCUUACGUUGUCCUCAGAUUAUAGCUAACCUUCCUAAGGAGAUGGAGUGCUCAGGACUUUCCUUUUUCCACAUGGCCUAUAAUGGCGCGGUUAAAAUUCCUCUCAAUUUCUUCAAACAAACCGUAGGCCUGAAAGCCUUAGAUUUGGUCGGAAUGCAGUUUCCAUCCCUCCCUGAAUCAAUUAUUCACCUUGCAGAGCUUCACAUGUUGUGUCUAAAAGGAUAUGCAGUUGAUGACAUAACCAUCCUUGGAGAGCUCAAGAGUUUAGAAGUACCCAACCUUUCUCGCUUAGGUAUCAAAGAACUACCUAAGGAGAUGGCACAAUCGACUCAAUUAAGGUUGUUAGAUUUGCGUGGGUGUAGAGAACUCAAAAUCAUCCCACCGAAUGUCUUAUCAGGUUUGUCUAAAUUAGAAGAAUUAUAUAUGAGUAGGAGCUUUGUUGAAUGGGAAAAGGGAGGAGUAGUUGAAAAUGAGAGGAAAAAUGCAAGCCUUGAUGAAUUAAACAAUUUGCCUUGUCUAACUACUUUAUAUGUUGAUAUUCUUGAUGUCCAAAUGAUACCAAAACACCGGUUUGUAGAAACAUUGGACAGAUUCAGGAUUUUCGUAGGUAAUUAUGGAGGAUAUAAUUGUUGCCAGAAUUAUGAAUCUCCGAAAGCAUUGAAGCUCAAGUUAUAUACAAACAUUGAUUUGGACAAUGGGAUGAAAAUGUUGUUGAUAAAGACAGAAGAUUUGUGCCUAGAGGGACUUGAAGGCGUCAAGAAUGUACUUGUGGAGUUAAAUAAUGGGAAAGAUCUUUCAAAUUUAAAGAGAUUUCAUGUCAAAAAUGGUAGGCACGUCCAACAUAUCAAAAUGAACAAAAUUGGAUUUUCUGAAUUAUGCUUCGUUAAACUUGAAAAUCUACCGCAACUCGUUAGCUUUUGCUCUCCAGACGAAAGGUGUUCCACUAAGCCCUUAUUACUUUUCAAUAAACAGGUAUUUGUUUGGCUUUACUUAUAUUUUCUUAUACUACUUUUAUUUAUAUGCCCAUUAAUACUUCUAAUAGUAGAAAUAAAUAAUAUUGUGUAAUGGUUUCUCCGGAGCUCAAAAAUAAAUUUCAAAUCCAAAACAAAUUAAAAUUUAAUUUUUAAUCCAAACCGAUUCAAAAUCAAUUCAAUAAUCUAAAUUUAAAUCCAACAAUUUUUUUUAAUUCUGAGAAUAAAAUUUGAGCCCACAAAUCGAACUAAAAUUAUCUUUAAAAUAAAAAAUCAUAUUUUCAAAUUAUGUUACAUACUAUCUUUCCCUAUGGAAAAAGAAUUGUGUAAAUAUGUGCAAUUUAUUUUCCCUCACUUGGAAAGCUUGUAAUUGUGUUCCAUUAACACGAAAAGAAUAUGGCACAACCAGACAUGUCAUUGGGUUACGAAUUUGAGGAGCUUGAUCAUCAAAGGAUGCGGCAAGUUGGAGCAUCUGUUAUCACCCUCUCUCGCUAGAAGUCUGGUGCAGCUCCAAUGCUUUGAGAUAGAGGAUUGCAAUUGCUUAAGGGACAUAAUACUUACAGAGGAAAUUGAAGAAGCAAGGAAAGAUGUGAUUUGUUUCCCUCGAUUAAACUCCCUGCAUAUAGAUCGUCUUCCAAACCUCAUCUUCUUCAACUCAGGAAACCACAAUAUUGAGUUCCCAUUGUUGAAAGUGCUAAAGAUUCAGCGUUGCCCCAAGUUAAUAGAAUUCAUUAGUCAGAAUAGUAAUCAGUCCGG